rnacentral:lncRNA from 1 species
AUACAAGCAUGAAUUUAUGAUGAUGAGAUGCUAAGCUUAAGAUUUGGUCGAUGAUAUGUUAGAAUUUAGAACAUUUAUGCACUUGUUUCCUACCUUCUUAUUUGGUGGUGAAAGUCUUCAAAUCCUUGCAUGAUCUAUAAAGAGUAAAUUCCCAUAGAUAGUGUGGAGUUAUCGUCAUAGAUCGGGAUAAUGAUGUAUUAGAACAUGGAUGCACUUGUUUCACACCUGCUUAUUUAGCUGCGUGAGAAUCUUUAAACAUCUGCAUGAUCAUUAUUCAUUAAUGCUGAUGAACAACCAUAAGUUGAUGCCCGCUUAUCAGCAUAGAUGUUUAUUGCUUAAGUUAAUGCUCUAUAUGUGUUAGUAAUUAUUCAACAUCCCUCUGUAGAUAGUAGCUGGGGUCGGUUUUUCAGAGGCGCGGAGUUGGAAAAAACCGUAGAUCAAGAUUUGUCUCGUUUAUAUCCUGAAGAUGGAAGUUACUUUCAAACGCCUACUUGUCAGGCCAUGCUGCGUCGAAUACUAUUGAUGUGGUGCCUUCAGCACCCAGAACAUGGAUACCGCCAAGGUAAGGAACUCCUUUUGCAUAUAAAAUUUACAAUAGUUACUAAUUUCUCAAUUAGAGUUGAUCGAAGUAAUCUGAUUGGCUCUGCCCUCCCUGUCGCAAAUUUGAAUGGAGCUGACAUCCUUUAAUGUCAUUUAGCUUAGCUUGUUGUUAGAAGUUCCCACUUAUGGGCAUGAAAAUUGUAAUUCUAGAAUACAUUGUUAGGGCAUAUUGAUAAGCUCUGAGAUCCUUUUACAAGUUAAUAGGUCCUGAGAUCCUUUCACAAGGAAAUACAUAAAAAAAACGUUCAUUUUGUUAUAAGGUUUAAACUCUUGAAGUGCUAUCCACCUAUACCAUGUAGUGUUUUCGGUAUUGAUUUUUUUCUUUUAAAGAUGUGGCAUUGAAAUUCUGAUUACUUAGCAUGACCCAAUUGAUUAUCAUCAUCUCUCCAAAUUUGUUAUGAUUUUAUUUGAUUGGCAUAUGUGGAAAGACUUAUCGACUAUUUUUGUCACAGGAAUGCAUGAGCUAUUGGCCCCUCUAGUGUAUGUUCUUCAAGUUGACAUUGACAAACUAUCUCAAGUACGAAAAUUGCAUGAAGAUUGCUUCAAUGAUGAUUUUGAUGGAGUUCCUUUCCCAGAUACCGAUAUGGUUUUCAGCUAUAAACCUAGAAAGGACCCAAAAUGGAGUUUUGGAGCUGACAAUCAGAAUGAUUCUGAACGAUCUUCCAAAAGUAACACUCUUGAUGAGCUUGAUCCGGACACAAAAGAAAUAAUUUUACUUAGUGAUGCAUAUGGCGCGGAAGGCGAACUAGGCAUUGUUUUGUCAGAAAGGUUUAUGGAACAUGAUGCCUAUUCUAUGUUUGAUGGUUUGAUGGAUGGAGGUAGCGGAGUGGUACGCAUGGCAGAGUUUUUCUCCCCAUCCUCUGUUGGAUCUAGCUCAAAUCUACCACCUGUUAUUGAAGCCUCAUCAGCAUUAUUUCAUUUGCUCUCAAUUGUUGAGCCAACCCUCCAUAAUCAUUUCAUUGAGUUGAAAGUGGAACCACAGUGGUUCGCACUUCGUUGGUUGCGAGUCUUGUUUGGACGAGAAUUCUGCCUCAAUGAUCUUUUGGUAGUAUGGGACAAAGUUUUUGCUUGUUCAAACAAUAUGCUGCUAAGUAGUGAUGAGGAAUAUAACUUUCGUAUCUUGUGUUCAGAUAGAGGAGCAUUUAUUGCAGCCAUGGCAGUUUCUAUGCUUCUUCAUAUUAGGUCGUCUUUGUUGGCUACUGAACUUGAUGUCUUCUGUCUUCAGAGAUUAUUAAAUUUUCCAACGAAUAUUGAUGUGCAGAAGCUAAUUGAGAAAGCCAACUCCCUACAGUCUAUUGCAAUUGAUGCGAACACUUCAUCCUCAUCUUUCCUUUUAAAGAGGGAUAGCUAUGAGUUUGACAGAGUUCACAGCAAUCUCUCUUCUUCAACUCCUCCGAGAACUCCAUUGCAUCCUGUUUCUGAGAGUUACUGGGAAGAGAAGUGGAGGAAUGUGCACAAGGACGGAACAACCCCCAAGGAGGUUGAGAGGGGCAAUUCUUUUAGUAAACAAUUAAAGAAAUCUUUGACCCAGAAGCUUGGUUUAUCUAGGACAGAGUCAGAUCCUUCUCCAGUGAAGGUCCUCAGUGUGAGUAGUAAUGAUACUCGGAAUUCAGUAAGACGUUGCCUUCUGAAUACUUUAUCAGAUGAUUUGGAUUGUUCUAAUGAACUUGCCGGGAAAACUCAGGAAGACGAAUUCCCUAUCAUCUCAGUUCACAGGGAGCAUCCUCUGAGCUCUGCAGAGCCUUCCAAGUUAAAGGCAGCUGGUGAAAAUGUAACUGUGAGCGCAUCAUGUGUGGCAAAACUCAGCCCUCUAAAAAAAUCUGUGGUUGAGCCAGCUAAUGAGAACGCAACACAGGGGACAAAGUGUGUACCAGAAGCUUGUUCCAGCGGUGAGAACUCUCCAGUGUUCUAUGCAGCCAGAGCCAGUGCUGGUAAUGAACCUUUGAAUGGCCAGGACACGGAUUCUGAGAGUAGCAGUGUUACCUCAAAUUCCUUUGCUGGUGACCAUGAUAGGGAUGAAAUUCUGAAAGAUGAGCCAUCCAGCUCUAAUGAUGAUAACAAAACCAUCCAAGAUUCAGAAGCAGCAUCUUCUGAUAAAAGUCCAGACCGAAAUGGAACCUCUGAGAGGGCUGUCGUUUCUAAUGAAAGAAAGCCAUUCAUUAGUAAAUUCCAGUGGCUCUUGAAGUUGGGAAGACCUUCGGUUGAAGGCAACAUGGAGAAGAGUAGUGGAGAGACAUCAGCUGAUAAACAAGACGGGGACACAUCCUGUUCUCCUUCUGAUGGGAAUUCAAAUAACUCCCGUGGUAGCGUAAAGUUGGCUUCUGGUGAUAAAAAGGUCAUGGGCAGCCUAAAGAAUCUUGGACAAAACAUGCUUGAAAAUAUCCAGGUACUGUAUUCAAUAUUAUUUUUCAUGUACUUAAAGUAAGCCUGAAUAACCUUGUCUUUACAAAAUGAUUAGGUGAUUGAGUCGGCAUUUCAGCAAGACCGUGGUCAGCCUGGCCCUGUGGAGAACUUCUCAAACAACAUUCUUGGAGGCAAAGGACAGGUCACUGCAAUGGCUGCUCUGACGGAGCUUCGCAAGAUCAGCAAUCUGCUGAGCGAGAUGUAACAGUGUAAGAUGUAUCGCCCAUUCUUUCCCAGCUUUCUAGCUCAGCUAAGGCCUGGUAGUAAUAAGUCAGGUACCUAGGUCUUUUUCAUUCAGCAGUGCUUGGCACUGCUUGAAUAUGUAUAUAUAGAUUCGAUUCGAUUCCAUUCCAUUGAGUAAAUCAUGUAAGCAUUGUACAAGGAUCACCCGUGGAUUUACCUGGCGCGUGAUGAGGGAGUAGUUCUCUCCGGCAUUAGGAAGCUAUCUAAUGAUGGAUGAAAUUUUGUAAGAUAAACUUUUUAAGGAAGAAUAAGCAGAAUAUGUUGCAAUAUGUGCGAGCUACAAUGCAGCUGGAUGAUUUGUUCGUCAGGCUGUUCUAUGUUCAGUUCAUGUGCAGUACCAUUCAGAAGCAUUGUAUUUGGCAACAAUAAGAAAAAUCACUGCUGCUCUUUCUGGCUUCCAGUGCGAUAUCCAGGUUUGCAAUGUUUUAGCCAUUGUAUUAUUAUGCAGCUGGCAUAUCUCUGAACCAGAAAUGUUCAGCCCAAUGUAUCUGAUGAUGAAUGAACAUUGAUAGUACUAUCUAGCAACUACUUUCUCGGUUCAUAAUCUUUUCAGGGCAUUGCACCAAAUUGUUCAGAGAUUUUGUUGGCAGCUGUAUUAUUUAUUAGCUGGGCUCAUGCUGUCCAUGCAUCCUGGCACAACCCAGAGACAGAAAUGCAGCAAAUGCUGAUGUUUCUUUCACGCAUACUUUCCAUAUGGCUAUGGUAGGAAGCCAAGAAAGCGACGUACACUGCUUCUGUAGCUGUAGUGCACGACUCAAGCAAAAUCUUGCAUGUUUAAUGGCAUAUAAUGGUGUCUGCUUUCUGCACGCAUUUUCCAUCCACUUUCUUGAUCAUUUCUGUGUCUCUUCCUGAACGAUGUUGUGACCGGGACAGGCAGUUUCGAGUCUCAUUUGUAUACGCAAUCAUUUAGCACUACCACUUGACACAGAUUAAUUAGAGAAUAACUACAUAGCAGCAAUUGGUUGUAAUGUCAAAGACGACAACAAUUCUCUGCUGCUCUUAUUAUAACCGAGGCCCUGUUCUUUCUCUUCAAGAUUACAAAGAUUAUAUAUUAUCACGAAUACAUUUUUUAAGUUCCUAAACGAUACAUCUUUUUUUAAAAAAAACACUUUCAAUAUAUAAAUUGUUCAAAAUAUUUUUUAAAAAAACUUUUCACCUUUUUAAUAGUUAUUAAUUCAUUCAUCUGUACCCUACAACAUCACCAUAAAAUUAGAUAAUCUAUCAUCUAUUUAGAACAGUUAAACAUGACGUGAAAGGGGUAAAUUCAGAAGAAGCAGGAAAACUUGUUAACAAACAAAACACACGGUGUUUCGGUCCACGGGGGAUGCGAUGAGCGGGUACGGAUGGUGUGCGGACUGGACUGCAAAAACGGCUGGAUGCUGGCGAAUUCCACCGUGUCGGUGUCAUCCCACAACAGCAGCAGGAGCAGCGUCAGCUGGUCCAACUGUCCAAGAGGAAACUACCCACAGGGUCCAACUGCCCAUUCCAUGUGGCAGUGAGCAGAGCUGACCCAGCCAUCCUGCUCACCAUUCUUAUCCACUCAAACAGCUCCUGGCCAUGAGUUUUUUUUUUAAGAAGGGUGCAACUUAGCACGCACACUCACACACCAUAACACACGCACACACACGCUAAAAAUAAGAUUGAAGACCACUAGGUGUCUCAGUGCACGCGCAUACGUGUGUACCCUAUUUCUAGUCGAAAAUACCCCGAAGGACAGUCCUUAGGAAAGACGGAAAAAAAACCCGUCGAGGUGAGGUCCCACGAGUCGAACUCGCGACCGCCGUUCGCUCCACUGCGAAUGUGCCAACCGAGCCAUGAGUUUGUGUCUGAUGAAUGAUGAUGAUUCAGUGCUCUGACAGCGAGCAAAUCUUGUCUGAAGAAGAGAGAGAAAUGAUGGGCCUUUGCUUCGGUUUGAUGGCCUGAAAAUUCAAGCUAAAAUUUUGGCCCAUCAUGAAUUCAUAAUCCUCAUCCAUCCCUCUGUAUGGGCUGGGGAGUUUGAACUAAUUCUGGCCCAUUUAUGAGAUAGGAUGGGAAGUUGGGUCACUUAACAAAUCAUACAUAAGUUGUUCUUUUUUUCCUUCCAUAAAGGAAAAUUUGAUGAUGUGGUUAUAUUGUGGUUGCACAAAUGAUCACAUUAUUACUGCUACUGCCAAGGAUCUCUUGACCAUUUACCACAUGAAGCAUGAUGGGGCUAGAAAAGGUUACAGGACUUCCAGGUUUAUCAACCUCUGAACAUGUAGAACUUAUGGAUGAAAAUUGGGCCAAAAAUGAUCAAUGGCAAGAUCAACAAUCUUCUCUGUGGACAAAAUCAUUAACAGAGAUAUACACACCUAAAGUUAAGAGAGGGAGAAAAACUCCAGACAAAGUUGGGGCAACCUAUUGGUGUGCAGCAAAACGAGUUGCUUAGCCAGCAAAAAAGUAAGUUGAUGAGAAAGAAAAAUAUAACAUAUCAGGCUAAUCAUCUGGAGUACAGGGUGUGUUGUUUUUUGUUGAAGCUACCUCUGUCUUGAAUUUCUCCCAGACUUCUAAACCCAUGGGGUGCCUUACUACAUAACGUUUUACGAAAUGUUUGUCUGCAGUGGCUAGGAGAGUGCUAAGAGCUAGUCCAGUAGCAAUCACUCCUUUCUCCAACAACCAAUUGUACAUCAAAAACCUAAGCUUGGUUCUCUCCACGGUAAACGAGAGGAAUGAAGGGAAAAUUACCAGGGUACUCAGAGGAUAUCCCAUAUCAUUUACAAGGAAGGAUAUCUUGGAUUCAAGGACAUGGAUCUUCUGAUUCAGAACAUGUGGAGCCAUAGUGAUCAUCUGCACCACAUGUUCCGGGUCCAAACCGGUCUUGACCAAGAAGUCGUAGCGAUCUUUUAGCUCGUCACCUUUACCACGAAAUGCUUUGAGUCCCCUCGUCAUUCGUUCGGAUCCUUCCAUAAAUCCUAAGUUCUGUAAAAAUUUCACCUUCUCCUUGAAGGAUGCUUCAUGGAGAUCAACUUUCGGUAUGCGGCUGACCUUUGCCCCUAAUGAGAAUUUCAUCAACAGUUGUGGAUCCUCCAUUACCAUCCUGCAAAGGCGCUUCUUCCCUACACUGAGAUGUGUCAUAAUGCUGUUUGGUUUCUUCAAUUGGACGGAACCAAGUAUUGAACCGUUAGACACCACAAAUUUCUUAAUGUCCUCUUCACUAACACCAAUCUCAGCUAAGAAGAAUAUGCCCCUUCGCAGGUUCCUCGUGAAAUUGUCGACUGACAAAUUUGGGAAAUUCAGAAAAAGAUCAACCAAUUCCUUUUUUCCAAACCCAGCUUUUAGCAUGACGAGGACUGCCGAGAACAGCAUCUUUCCUGAACCACUAAACAAGAAAUCGGGAUUCUGUCUGACCAAUUUGCCAAUACCUUCAUUAGUGAAUCCUAAAUCACUGAAGAACUGAGGGACUUGGACCAUCUUUCCCCAGUUAUAAGACUUCUUUACAGAUAAGAAUCGGCCAAGCCAGUCUCUCUGAAUUCCAACAUCAUCUAGCCAGCGCAGAAUCUUCAAUUCCACAUUUGGAUCACGGACCAGUAUGACAGGGCUCGACAUCACUAGCUUGAUCACACUGGUCUUACUCAACCCUUGAUCCUCAAGGGCCUUCAGCUUCGACGCAAGAACUCCAUGGCCAAAACUAAACACUUCGGUAGCAUCCCUGUAUAUCCUCCCUAUCUUGGUGCGCGCGAUGCCAUAGUUGCAAAGCACCCGGAAAUUGUCGAGCAUCGUCUCAUCAUCAUUGAGAAACAUGAGAUCACGAGGCAACAAUGGCUCAUACUCGCCCGGCGCGAUGCCGAUACUCUCGAAGAACGGCUCGAACUCGUUGAUAGGGUGGAAGUUGAACAGCCGCACCAACGCCUUGCUGACCCUCUCAUCCCUCAUCUCCCUCUUCUUCACCUUCGACCUGAAGGGCACCUCCUCCCCCUCCUCCGUGGGCUCCUUCGCCGCAUCCUUCACCUUCUCCAGCAGCUUGCUGAUGAAGAUCGGCGAGCGCUUGCUCAUGUGCUCGGCAUCACUGAAGCAAAUCCCACGCGUGACAUGGAGGUACUCCAUGAAUGCCUUCUGCGCGAUGCGGGCGUCGCGCCUCCUCCGCAUCUGCUUGACCCUCCGAUCAUCCACAUCCUCAAUCCCAUCCCCGACGAUCGCCGGAGCGGCCGAGAAUGGCCGCAGCUGAAUCCUGUCACCAACCUGACUGGCCCAGCUCCAGCUCGACGCACAUGGUGAUGAUGAAUCAUGGACAUGCCAAGAACUGACAGCAGCAGCAGCAGCAUGACAAUGUGGGGUUCUGGAUGAGCCCCUGGCAAGGCCAUUCCAUGGAAGCCACCUGUGGCGAGCGGCUGGCACUGACCGGAGCAUGGAGAUUCAGCUGAAUCCCCCAAAACUUUUUGGAGAACAAACUGUAUGUAUCACUGUAUCAGUAUCACUGACGCAAGAAAAGAAAUCCACGGCGAACUGGGCACUCCCUCCCUCCUAGAAAGAAAGAUUUGGAUUGGAUGAAGAGAACUGGAUGAACAAACACACUCACUCUCAGAAUAAUCCGAGCAUGGUUGGGCUUGCCGCCAAUCUCCACUCGGCUACAGUCCAGUAGAGCGGAGAGCGAGGUGGAGGUCGUGCUUCGGUGGUGGAAGGAGGGCUCGCGGAAGGGAGGCGCGCUCGGGGGAGCCACUCGCCGGCGCCGCCGCCGCGAGGGGGGGAGGAGGAGGAGGAGCAGGGAGGGGAUGCGCGGGUGGACGGCGGCGGCGGCUGUGUUUUGGGGGCGCGGCGAUGAGAGAGCCGUGGCCGUUGGAUCCAAGCCCAGACGGAGGCGACGGCUCUGAGCGGCCGCGGGAAUUUGGGCCGAAAUUUACUUGGGCCCCACGUGGGCCUUUGAGGCCGAAAGCACGUGUGCUCAAGUGGUUAGGUUAAUCUCGUAGGUCUUGUUCGGUUAAUUCAUGAGAGAGCGAUUGAAGGUGUGGAAUUAUUUUUCAUCAAUCCCCUCCAAUUCUUUUCAAUCCUCUCUAAACUAAGGAUGCGUUCGUUCAUUGGAGAUAGGGGAGAUUGUCAUUCAUUUUUCGUGCGCACGCUUUUCAAACUACUAAACGGUGUGUUUUUUGCAAAAAAAAAUUCUAUAGAAAAGUUGCUUAAAAAAUCAUAUUAAUCCAUUUUUGAAGUUUAAAAUAGUUAAUACUCAAUUAAUCAUAUGCUAAUGACUUACCUCGUUUUACGUAUCUUUCUAAUCUUCCCAAUUAUCUCUUCCUCAAACACAGCCUAAAUAAGGCUUACUGCGGCAGAUGCACCGCCCAGCUUGGGCGAGCAAUUGCUUGGGCUGCGCACGACUGCAAACGAGACUGAAUCCAUAGACUUCCCAGCGGUCUUAUAUGAGGGGAAUAAGCUCAUCUGAGACGCUCAUCUGAGAUCCCCUCUCCGGUGGGGAUCGACCAGAUGUUGGCGCGUCGGCGCCUGCUCUCCACCGCGCGUCGGCUCAAAGGUCUGGAGCUUCGGGAGUUCGUGUGGAGCUUGUCGAUCCGGAGGGAGCUCUUGUUGGGGUGUGGGUUUUGGUUGGAGUCAACUGAAUUACGCGCCAAAUAUGCCCUAAAAUCUACUACUCCCAAAUAUGCAGCAAAUGUACUUGUGCCUUGUUUGGCUCAAUAAUGUAAUGUGAUGAGAAAGAACAAAAACAAUACGGGGACUUGGCGCAAGAUAAUCAUGAAUUAACAGUAGUGUUUCAUAUGGCUGUAUACACCCCCGUUGGUGUAUAGAACCCGGGUUUUAUAAAUUUCUAUUAUCUAAAAAACAGUAGUGUUUCCACCAACUCAGAUUACAAGACUUCCACGCGAGAAAUUGGAAAACAACCUUAAGGUGCACCCAUGCACAUACUAAUUCUUAAUCGAUCGCACACAAUGCGAUCGCUCAUUAUUAUCAUGGCCUAAUACGGACGAUCGAUUCCACACAGGGCAGCAUGUAGUGGGCAACAGGGAGCUCACCAAUGCGGAAUUUUAUCCCAUUCCGGUGAUCAUACGUCAAGUCACGCGCCAUGUCGAUCACUUCUUCGAGCGACCCAUCACGCAGGUCGCACUUGUAAACGUACCAGCCAUCAAUGGAUAGGAAAACCUGUUCUCGAUCGGCCAGAGAAACGCAGACGGAUACAUUGAGCUGUGUUAUGAAAAUAGAUGCACAACGGAGACACGAAUUUUACAUGGAAAACCCUUGCGGGAAAAAACCACGGGCGCCGACCGGCAAUGAUCACUAUAGAGGAGAUGAUUACAAACGUAGGGGAAUCACAAUGGGAACGUCACCCCUUCCCGUACGGCUUAUAAGAGUAUAUGUAGGGGAAAUAGAAAGACACCUAAUAGGAAUUCCUACUAGGAAACUAAUCCGAAUAUAUUGUGGGCCCAAAAUUCGGAUCACAUAUUUAACAAUCUCCACCUUGAGACGAAUUUCCUCUUGUAGCAUAAAAACAUCAAUCACCAAAAAUACCUCAUGUAGGUAAAAUCACCGCGCGCCAAAUAGUCUCUAGGACUAUAUUGUAACACCAACCAAGCUUGAGCAAAGCUCAAAUUUAGUAGCAGAAACUGGCUUUGUCAUCAUAUCAGCUGGGUUAUCAUGAGUACUUAUCUUGCAUACCUUGACAUCACCUUCAGCAAUCACACAUCGAAUAAAGUGAUAUCUCACAUCAAUGUGCUUUGUUCUCUCAUGGAACAUUUGAUCCUUUGUAAGACAUAUUGCACUUUGACUAUCACAAAAUAUAUUAAUGCAAGACGUAACUCCACAAAGCUUAGUGUACAAACCUCUAAGCCAAAUAGCUUCUUUACAAGCUUCAGAAAUAGCCAUAUACUCUGCUUCAGUAGUAAAUAAGGCAACAGUUGCUUGCAAACUUGCCUUCCAACUAACAGCACAUCCUCCAAUAGUGAAAACAUAACCUGUGAACGAUCUUCUCCUAUCCAAAUCUCCAGCAAAAUCUGAAUCCACAUAACCAACAAGUCCAUCUCUAGAUCUCCCAAACAGCAAACAAGCACUAGAUGUACCACGUAGGUAUCUGAAAAUCCAUUGAACAGCUUUCCAAUGCUCUUUGCCAGGAUUAGCCAUGUAUCUACUGACAACACUCAAUGCAUGUGAUAAGUCAGGACGAGAACAUACCAUGGCAUACAUAAGUGAACCAACUGCACUUGAAUAAGGAACUCUAGACAUGUAUUCAACAUCAUAAUAUGACUGUGGACAUAAAUCUAAAGAUAAUCUGAAAUGUGCAGCUAACGGAGUACUCACUGGUUUUGCAUCAUGCAUAUUGAAACGACGAAGAACUUUUUCACUAUAACAUUUCUGACUAAGAUAUAACUUGCCAGAAUGUCUUUCUCUAGUAAUUUCCAUACCGAGAAUUUUCUUCGCUGCACCCAAAUCCUUCAUCUCAAAUUCACUACUCAAUUGUGCCUUCAACUUUUCUAUCUCUGAUUUAUCUUUUGCAGCAAUCAACAUAUCAUCGACAUAAAGAAGCAAAUAUAUAGCUGAACCAUCAACAACUUUAAGAUAAACACAGCUAUCAUAAUUGGAUCUUCUAAACUUCUGAGAAAGCAUGAAAGAGUCAAAUCUCUUAUACCACUGUCUAGGUGACUGCUUCAACCCAUAAAGAGAUUUCUUCAAUCUACAGACUAGGUUCUCUUUUCCAGGAACAACAAAACCUUCAGGUUGCUCCAUAUAAAUGUCCUCUUCUAACUCCCCAUGUAAAAAUGCAGUCUUACCAUCCAUUUGCUCUAGUUCAUAAUCAUGCAUUGCAACAAUACUGAGUAAAGUACGAAUUGAACUAUGCUUCACAACAGGGGAAAAGAUAUCAUUGAAAUCAAUACCUGGAAUCUGGCUAUAACCUUUAGCAACUAACCUUGCUUUGUACCUUGCCUCAUCACUUGGAGACAUACCUUCCUUUCUUUUGAAGAUCCACUUGCAACGGAUAGGUUUCUUCUCCUUUGGCAACUUCACCAAUUCCCAAGUAUGAUUCUUUUCAAGUGACUCCAUCUCAUCAUGCAUAGCAGUUAUCCAUCUAUUGCAAACAUCAGAAACAAUAGCCUCAGAAUAUGUAGAAGGUUCGGCAUUACCUUCAAUUUCUUCUGCUACACUCAAAGCAUAAGCAACUAUGUUCGCUUCUUCAAUAUAUCUUCGAGAAGGUUUAAUAUUUCUUUUGGGCUUAUCUUUUGCAAUAGAACGUUUUGGAGACUGCUGAACAAUAGAAGAAUCUGAAUCUUCAAUAACAGGUGCAUCUUGGUUAAUAGCAACAUCUUCUUUUUCUGGUGCAUGCCCUGAACUGAUCAAGUGCUCCACCUGCACACUUGCUUUCUCCUGACUCUCAACAGGAACAUUAGUAGAAGGUUUGUCAUGUAACAUAACUGAUUCAUGGAAGACAAUAUUUCUACUAAUCACAACCUUUUUGGUUUCAGGACACCAUAACUUAUAGCCUUUCACACCAGACGGAUAACCAAGAAAAAUGCACUUAAUAGCUCUAGGCUCCAAUUUACCAUUAUCAACAUGAGCAUAAGCAGUACAACCAAAUACUCUUAAGUCUGAAUAAUUUGCUGGGGAACCAGACCAUACCUCAAUUGGAGUCUUCUUAUCAAUGGCAUAACUAGGUGAUUGAUUGAUAAGAUAACAAGCAGUGGAAACAGCUUCCGCCCAAAACUGUUUAGGCAAACCUGCAUUAGACAACAUACAACGGGCCUUUGAUAUAAUUGUCCUGUUCAUACGCUCAGCUACGCCAUUUUGUUGAGGUGUGUGAGGAACGGUGUAGUGACGCACAAUGCCUUCAGACUUGCAAUAUGAUUUAAAUAUCUUAGAACAGAACUCCAUCCCAUUGUCAGUACGAAGGAUUUUCACCUUCCUUUCAGUUUGUCUUUCAACCAUAGUUUUCCACUCUUUAAACACAUCAAAAGCUUGAUAUUUGUGCUUCAAGAAAUAAGGCCAAACUUUUCGCGAAUAAUCAUCAACGAUAGUCAUCAUGUAACGAGCACCUCCAAAAGAUGUCUUACGAGCAGGCCCCCAUAAAUCAGAAUGCACAUAAUCAAGAAUACCUUCAGUAGUAUGUGUAGAUGUGUUGAACUUCACCCUCUUAUGCUUGCCAAAGAUGCAAUGCUCACAAAAUUUGAGCUUCCCGAUGCUUUGUCCAUCUAGCAAUCCUCGCUUGCUCAAUUCUGCCAAACCAAUUUCACUCAUAUGCCCAAGACGCAUAUGCCAAAGAUUAGUAGCAUCGGAAUUAGAUAAUGAAUCAGAAACUACUGCAACAUUACCUAAUAUAGUUGUACCUCGCAGAUGGUAUAGAUUGGCAGAUUUAAUAUCAGCUUUCAUCACAACAAGAGAGCCUUUAGUUACCUUCAAAAUUCCGUCUCCAUCGGAAUAUUUGUACCCUUUGCGAUCAAGAGUACAUAAAGAGAUGAGACUUCUCUUCAAAUUUGGAAUAUGCCGCACAUCUGACAAUGUUCUAAUACAGCCAUCAAACAUCUCGUUCUGAACUGUUCCAAUACCUGCAACCUCGCAUGGUGUAUCAUCACCCAUCAAAACAGUACCACCUUGAACAACUUCAUAAGUGGCAAACCAAUCCCUAUUCGGGCACAUGUGAUAGGUGUAUGCAGUAUCAAGUAUCCACUGGUCACUAGUUUGUGCACAACCAACAUAAGCAACAAGCAAUUCUGCAUCAGACUUCUCAUCAGUAACAACUGCGGCUUUACCUUCCUCUUCUUUCUUACCUUUUGGUAUGUAUUUUCCGGUUCUCUUGUCUUUAUCCUGUAGCUUCCAACACUCAGAGAUAUCAUGUCCAUCUCUCUUACAGUAUUUGCAUGACUUAUACCUGCCUCUGGACUUUGAUCUCCCACGGUAGCUACUUGAGCUUUUAUCUCUUGAUUUGUUGUUUGUGUUCUUCUCCUGUUGCCUGCCUCGAACAACCAAGCCUUCUGCUUGUGAAUUUGAACCUUCAGAGGGUACCAUCUUCUUCAUCUUUUCUUUGGCAUGCAAAGCAUCAUAAACUUCUUUCAAAGUUAGAGUAUCACGGCUAUAAAGUAUAGUAUCCCUGAAGUUUGCAUAUGAGCUAGGCAAUGAACACAAUAGAAUAAGGCCUAAAUCCUCUUCAUCAUACUUUACCUCCAUAGACUCAAGGUCAGCAACAAUUUCCUUGAAAGCGGAGAGAUGGUCCAUCACGGACUCAUCAUCUUACAACUUGUGCAAAAAUAACUUUUGCUUCAGGUGCAUCUUACUGGUAAGAUCCUUAGUCAUGCAUAUCUGUUCCAGCUUCAACCACAGCCCAGCGGCUGUCUCCUCCUUAAGCACCUCAUGCAAAAUAUUGUUAGAUAGAUGAAGAUGAAUAUAUGACAUAGCCUUACGAUCCCUUUUCUUCUCAUCAACAGACCAAUCCUGUGUCCUCUUAUCAAAUCUAGAAAGCGCAUCAUUGAGGUCUUGUUGUGCAAGAACGGCUCGCAUCUUCACUUGCUAAAGUAAGAAUCUUGUGUCUUGGUCCAGGAGAGGUAGAUUAUACUUCAAACUCGCCAUGGGAAUUAAUCCUGAAUUUGCUAGUAAGAAAUUAGGGUAAUCCUAGCAAAAACGCGAAACCUGGUACACUUCUCGUGUGUCUGUAGCGUAGAUCAGUAAACUUCCUGGUACAAGCUUUGGUGCGCGUAGCAAUUUUGCCUCUGAAAAAACAACCUAACAGAAGCUCUCGGUGGAUUGGUUUUUCGCCUCGGGAACCGUGCGCUGCAGAUGGAUUGGCUUCGGCUGAUUUUCUUCUCCCGCACUGCUGUACUGCUGCUUUUCUGACACGCGCGGCAGGAAGGACGGCGUCGACUCGGAGUUGACGGCGACUAUGCUUUGGAUUGGAUUUCGCCGAACAGAAUUUGGACGGAAUGACGAACACGACGACGCGUACUGCCGAUUAGAUCGAUUUCUUCGAUCCGAAAAAUCACGCCGGUGGUCGGGACUGCAGUAGAUCUUCAAUGUUCUGAUACUACUUGUUAUGAAAAUAGAUGCACAACGGAGACACGAAUUUUACGUGGAAAACCCUUGCGGGAAAAAACCACGGGCGCCGACCGGCAAUGAUCCCUAUGGAGGAGAUGAUUACAAACGUAGGGGAAUCAUAAUGGGAACGUCACACCUUUCCGUAUGGCUUACAAGAGUAUAUAUAGGGGAAAUAGAAAGACACUUAAUAGGAAUUUCUACUAGGAAACUAAUCCGAAUAUAUUGUGGACCCAAAAUUCGGAUCACAUAUUUAACAAGCUGUUUAGGAAUCGGCAAGCGGAUGCGGCAGCGCAGCGACCAAGCAAGGCUUGGUCCAUCUGCUGCCAACCAAAUGGCUAACUCACAUGGCGAGGCGGAGUGGACAUAGCACAACUUGCCACCAAGCUGGCAUAGCAUGUCGUUGUUGCUCAGAAAGCCCCUGCAUGGAGGGUUGGGAUGGACAGUGAAUGUUUCAUCGCGCAAGCUAAAUCGAAGGAUAACAUGUGAGCUCACCUUGCUAAGGCCAUGGCCGGUCGUGGAGUGGAGAGCGCUCCAGUAGAAGAACCCUGGGAGACAGAUCGGAGUCCUAGCAUUGAUAGGAUAUGGCGGAUCUAUGGUCGCCUUCCAUUUCCAACAAUCUUCUCCAUCACCAAGAGUCAAGAUCUCAUGUCCAGCCCGGGAUUCUCCUCCGCUGUGUGAUGAGCGGAGGAAGUGCCUAGCCACCUUGUACUUGCCACUCCAAGGGUCGAACCCGAAGGCGACCCUGUGCUCCAGUGCAACACUGUGGCUUCCUCUCGGCAGCUCAACGAACUCGCUGGUCGUCAGGUUGCACACGAAGAUCUCUCCCGAGACGCAAGGGAUCAGGAUGAGGCCGUCGCAGUGCAGAGGCAUGCUGAACAUUGGGAUCCCACGGGGAAAUCUCUUCUCUAGGAUGAGCUCGGCAACCUUGCUCUGCCCUGGCUGGAACCUGUAGAAAGUGACACCCUGAAGUUUAAACUUCUUGGGGUUACUCAGAAACAUCCGUGGCAUGACGACCAUGGAUGGCCUGGGCCUGGAAUGCUCCAGGUGGCGGCGCGCGAAGCUGGUGCUGAUUAUGGUGGCGCGCCACAGCUUGCACACGGAUUGGAAUCGCACAAGGCACUUCGCGGGAAGUCGGACGAGGAUUUCGGAGAAAAGUAUAUCAUCAGGGAUAAAGCCACCGCCGGCGGCGGCGGCGGCGGAAGCUGACCGCGGCGGCGGCGCCAUCAGACGGCGUCGUUUUGGGAAUGGGUGGUUCUCCAUAUGGAUCUCUCGUUUGUUUGUGCCGAUUGCCGGCUUCAAUCUGUGUGAUCAGAUGAUUACAUAAUCAGAAAAUAGCACCCAAUAAUUCGACUCGGAUUCAGGGAUCCACUUUAUCUAAUUUGACUCGGAUUCAGUUGAUGAACCACAUUUUCUUUUCGGGGGAAAGAACUAAGUGUUAUUAUUUACUUAUAGUAAUAUUAAUCUUAUCUUAAUCUUAACUACUUCGCGAUUUUGGGCCGUCGUCCAAGUUCGCACGCGACGUCCACACGCCCCGACUGCGUUCGUUCAUGUUCUUCUUCGGUUCACGCCUAGGCGCCUAGCAGGCAGGCAGGGGAAGAGCGGGCGCACGACGUCGGUGUCCGGUGGCACAACGGCGGCGGCAGCGGUGCCUCGACGCGUUCUUGGACACAGCACAAUGGAGGAAGGCGGCAGCCGGCGUGGGGAGCGAGGGAAGAGUUGGGAACGCCGGCGGCGAGAACUCAGUCCAGUCGGAAAAACCAAACUGAUGUGAGGUGUGAGAGAAGGGGGGAAAUAGGGAAAAUGGACUCGCCGGAGUGAGGAGAUGCUGGUGGCGAGAUGAGACGGCGAGAUAAGCUCUAGGGGAGGAGAUCGCUCCGUCGGGGCAGCGGCGGCGGCGGCGGCGGCGCGCACGCGUGCCAUGCGCGCCCUCCGGAAGGAAGGAGGCGGCUGGCUCGGCUGGGUUGGGCCAUGUGCGGGAGAGAAGGUCGGAAGGGCCCAGAAAGCAAGGUGAUGUCAGCCCAGGAGUGACAUGACUGGUUGGAGGAUUUCGGCCCAAAAGAAAUAGAAGAGUUUUCUGAAUUUUUGGAGGGAUGAUUUUAAUGGAAUCUAAAAGAAAUUCAAAAGAAUUUGUUUGGAGAUAAAUUUUAACAGGUAGUUCAUGGACUCUAUACAUGUGGGGGGAGGGGUUGGUUUAUUUUUGGCAAUGGAAGUUUAGAGGGGCUUUUAUUUUGGGGGUAUUGGUUUAAAGGAGGAGUAUUUGAAUAAAGGAAUAGAUAUUUGAAUUUGGAGGAGAGUCUUUGGCAGGAAAACUUUAGAAUAUCAUUGGAGGCAAAAAUUAUGGAAUUUAGAUAAAAUGAAAAAGACAAAUGGCUAAAAGAGUAGGUUUUAGCUAAUAAAAAAUAAUAAAUCGGGAUGUUUAUAAAAUUGAGGAGGAACUUGAACAAUAGUAUAUAGAUGUUUGUCUUUAGAAUAUUUUUGAGAAUGGGACUUAACCAAUGGUGAGUUUGGAAGAAAGAAACAAGAGCAAAGGAUGGCUAAAGGAAUGAAUGGUAUAUCGAGAAAUUUUUUAUAUGGGGAAUUUGGAGCUUAUUCAAAAGUAAAACAAAAGAUUUGAAUAGAUGGAUUUACUAAGAGUCGGCCAAAAACUUGGUUGGCUAGUUUCAAGGAUACAGGAAUUUGAAAUUUAUGCGGAGGUCGAUUGGAUCUAGAUGAAUUUGGGUAAUGGGAAUUUAAUAGGAAAUAAAUGUGCUAAUAAAAUAGGGUUUCGGUAAAAAUAAAUUGAAAGGUUUAUGCUACUGUUGCAUGCCUGAUGACGCGAAGACGACGACGAACAGGCCGUGCCGCAGCCCGGAGAUUGACUCCUUCGGGGAGGCACGCGGUGAAGACUCGACAAGCGAAAAAAAAAGCGAAACAGGUGACCGUCCCCAGGAGCGAGAUCGCUCCUCCCGGGGGCAACGGAAGCGGAAGCGGUGAGCGGAGGCCUUAGGUCGUCUGCUCUGAUACCAUGUUGAAUAGUACAGGGAGAGAGAAAUACAGCGUAACGUGGAUACAUUGUAUUGAGCUUCAAGGGGCCAAUAUACAUGGAUUACAUGGAUUCUUAAGUAAACUCAGAAAUAGAGAUGGAUACUAAUCCUAUCCUACCAUAACAAAUCGGAUACAAUAUGAUCCUAUCCAUAUACUCUAAUAGCCUGCUUGGGAAGUCUCUCCAGCAGAUGGUCCACACACUCACAAUGGAGAACUACACAAACGGGAUCAGUGACCAAAAUGCUGUAACUGACAACUUCGCAAAGCCAACAUCAAGUAUAGCACCUGAUGUUCUAGCACUCUGAGCGGUGAACUCGGCAUCAUCUUCUCCAGCAACAUCAACCCCAUCUGAGUUGCCUCUCCAAGCUCUUGCAUUGAGCUUGAGCACUCCAUCUUUGUCGACGACAACCACCCGCCGUGAGAUCUGAACGACGCCGUCGCCAUCGACGGGCACCGGCCGGUCACCGUAGUCGAUCAGCACCACUUCAUCAGCGAUACCGCCCAUGCGUGCAGCAAACCGUGCACCGAAAUCGCUUGAGCCUUCGGUGAUCUUGAUUUCUAUGGUUGCCUCCACUGCUUUUAUCGAAUGUCCAUGUCUUAGAGACAUCCUUUGUAUGCAAGAAGGCACGAAUAGGAUCGUAUGCCCAAAAAUCGAUGCUUAGAAUUCUGUCCUCUGAUGGUGUUUCGCCUUUGACUUUGAGUUGAAAUUCGACUUCGGCUGUGUUUAGUUCACACCAAAAUUAAAAAUUUGGUUAAAAUUAAAACGAUGUGAUGGAAAAGUUAGAAGUUUGUGUGUGUAAGAAAGUUUUGAUGUGAUGGAAAAGUUGAAAGUUUGAAGAAUUAUUUUGGAACUAAACACGGCCUUCAGCACAUUGACGAAGCUGAACUGCACGAACAGGGCCUGUCAGCACCAAACAAGAAUCCUGCGUAUAAGAGCAGAACAGUAAAUAAUUAUAUUGUCCGUUAAAGAAAAAGGAAAUUAGGUAUCUUAUUAUGACCAUAUUCAUAAAAUAUUUCAUCAACCCUGUUGAUUUCAACUAGUUUGGUAUAAUGGCCCAUAAGAGCACCCAUAAUAUUCAGUUAAGGAACAAGAAAAGUGUAGCAUAUUGUAUUUCUGCUGUUCUUUACAUCUUUGGGCAUAAGGUAAAUAGUUCCUCUUUCCCUGGUUUUCAUGAACAAAAAUAUAACACAUACAGCAAUCACUGUGAAGAAUAUACAAAAGAUCGCGUAAAAAAAGAAUAUACAAAAGAAAGCUGUACUUUUCAAAAAGGGCAUGAAAUAGCUCAAUAUAAAUAACAAAUCAAUAAAUCAUAUACUGCUGACUGAAUGCUGUUUCCCUCGUUCUAGGAAAUGGCGCUUUACUGUCCUGGUUUUAGAACUUUGCAGUCGAUUUUCAUCCUCUAUCAAGAGAGCAAUGUUAGAAAACGAUAGGCAAACAAACGAUAAAAAAUAAUAGAUCAAUCACAAAAGACACGAGAUUUAACGUGGAAAACCCUCCCAAAACAGGAGAGAAAAAACCACGGACGCCAGCCAGCAAAAUAUCUUCACUAUAUCUGGCGGCUUACAUCGCCGCACGCUCCGGCCCAAGCCUCCCAGCGACGGGCCUCCGCUCCACUACGGCAGAAGAAAUGAUUUUGGAUCACAAUUCAACAAGCAAAAUAUUGGUCACUCUGUAGUUUGUACAACGGCCAAUAGGUGAAUGAGAUAAACGCUCGGUGGAAGAUAGUGCUUUAGACUUUGAGUCCUACUCCGGUACUUUCUACUUGUAGUAGAAAGUAAUCUGAACCACUAAUCUCAUUUGAUCAAAGGGUUUAGAUCAAUUUCUACUACCACCUCACUUAAUGGUAGUAGAAUCGUGGAUGGGUAUUAUUGUCCAAGAACAAAUAUUAGUGGAGGGGUAUAAUCAUCAUCUAUAUACAAUCACUGGCCCUAGCCAUACUCUCUCAAUCUUUCCUCACGUCGGCCAAAGAGAAUCGCGUGACUCCCCCAAAUCGCAUCCGGAGACGACGCCGAGUAUCUCCUCCCUGCCGCCGCCUCCGCCACCCGAUAGAAGUACACCAACGCCGGGCCUCACGUGUUCGUGACGAUGCUCCUGGCCGUGGUGCUCACGGCAGCUGUGGCGCUGGCGCUCGUCAACGCCGUCAACUCGCAUGACUUCGCAGCGCACCUCGCCGGCGUGGACUGCCGCAUGGGGCUAGCUGGUCCAGCACGAUGCCCAGCCUCGGGCUUCAUGGAGCUCCUCAUGCCGGCGCUACAUGUGAUUGGAUGCGUGCUCGCCGUCUUAGAUCGCCUGCAUGCCUGCCUAGUGUCGCCCUCUCGCUACACCUUUCGAUUGCAUCUCCAUGUACACGUGCCAGUGGCAGCACGGCGAAGUGACCAAUAUACAUGAAGUAUAUGUGCUAAGUAGGAUUGAAUUUGUUCCGUAUAUGGUGAACACUAAAAGAAAACCUUUCUCCUUGUUCGUUCAGCAGAUAAAAAUGUCAAACAGAAUCAUUUUCUUAUUGCUUCAAGUCACAUUAAGGCCGUGUUUAGUUACAAAAUUUUUCUUCAAACUUUCAACUUUUUCAUCACAUCAAAACUUUCCUACACACACAAACUUCUAACUUUUUCGUCACAUCGUUCCAAUUUCAACCAAACUUUUAAUUUUGGUGUGAACUAAACACAGCCUAUGCAUACUAUUGCUACUGCUACUGCUCGAGUUCAUACUUCAGACUUCAAAAAGGCCCCACCAAUUCAUGACCUCAUAAAAUCUGAUUUGGACCAGCAUAUUGAUUUAACAACCAGAAAAAAAAAUUGGACAUGGGCACACCUGUUGCCUCGAACAAUAUUUUUGCAGUAUUAGAACUAGUUCAUAUAAGUUGUACAGUCUAGGAUGCACUGAAUGAAUACAGAUAGAAAAGGAUUACAGGCAAGGCUCUGACUAGAAGCUGCAAAAACAUCUAAAACAGGCAAGCACCGGCGAACAAAGAAGUACUGGCGAGACGGCCGUCGGCGCCGCCGCCACCGGAAUGUAUCGGAUGGUGCCCCUACACGCGGCAAAAUGGGGCGACAAAUGGAGGAGAAUGAGUGGGGAAAGAAUGGCCGCCGGAGUAGACUGCCGGCGGUGCGAGGAUUUGCCGAGCAGUGGAGAUGGCUGUCAUCAAGAGGAGAUCGACGGUGGUGGGAGGAUUUGCCGCAGCGAAUGGAUGCGUCGUCCAGUCGCCGAUCGAGUGCCUAGCGAGAUGAAUAGAUAAAAUCCCAAAUACCACCAUUACCCCUAAUCACUAAGUAGUAAUGUACUAAUAUGCCCUUGUGAACCGACGAUUCAGAUCAAUUCUACUUGUAGCAUAAUACUACAAGUAGAAAGCACCGGAGCGUCGCUAUUAGACUUUAGGUGUGUGUGCCGCACUGACAAACUUCUACAGCACAUAAACAUAUCACCAUUUAUCAAACUAGUACUCCCUCCUCCGUUUCAGGUUAUAAGACUUUCUAACAUUACCCACGUUCAUAUAGAUGUUAAUGAAUCUAGGCACACAUAUAUGUCUAGAUUCAUUAACAUAUUGAUGGCUUCAUGCGGGUGGCCUUGGACUUCCACAGCUUUUCGUUGGCCUUUCUUCUAUUCCGGCAUGCUUGUGGCUGUGUGAGGAAAUGGAUGUUGACAAGCUAGGGUGUUAGCUUUAGGUUUUGGUGUUUGGUUGGGUAAUUUUGCAGGUGUUGCUCGUCAAUUGUUAUCUUCUGUGAGGUUUUUCUCUUUAUCUGUUUUCUCCUCUUUGUAUUCCCCAUAUAUUCUAUUCUCCUAUCCUCCAGGGCCCCUGCGCUUGCGUAGGUGAAGCCUGCCCUGUGUAAGAUCAUUUGGCUCAAUAUAUUCAGGUGGGGACUCUCUCCCCCCCGGUGAUUUAGUCAAAAAAAACAUAUAUAUGAAUGUGGGUAAUGCUAGAAAGUCUUAUAAUAUGAAACGGAGGAAGUACAUGUUAUUUGCUAAGUUACUGAAGUUUUCUUUCAGAAAUUAGUUAUGAAACAAUAGAAAUGCAGCUGCUGGAAAUCUGAACCGUAUUUUGGUAUGGCAUGAGAUUGGUAUGGUCCCUCAAUAAAAUGGUGCCAUCAAGCCCUUGAAGUGAAGAAUUUCGCUCGUUCCGCCAUUAGAAGGCAAGAAUUCUGCGUGUGAACCUUUUUUUUUAAAGGAAGGCAAAAGCUUUGUCUCGUAAAUAUUAAUAGAGAUGGAGAAAAAAUAGAUCAAAAAUAUGUAUAGGGUAAGCCUCGAAAGCUAAACCCACAGGAACCCACCAAAAGAGAUUAAGUGAUAUCUCCCAAAAUAUCGAACUCUUGAAGCUUCGAGGCUCUAGCCUUGACCCAAGCUCGAGCUUCCUCCUUGAUCUUGGCAACGAUGGACACCGGCGUUGAGGCGGUGCUUCGGAAGAUUCUUGCGUUUCAUUCGCACCAAUUUUCCCAGGAAACCAAGAUCACCAGGGUUCGUAAAGGAAUGCGGGGGUUAUCAGGGGAGUCUACCACAAGGCUCCACCAUUGUUCCACCGAGUCAUAGUCGCUCCAUUUGCUCAUUUGGAGGUGAGUUUGGGUCCACCUUUGUAUUUCUGUCCAGACCCUCUUUGUAACUCUGCAGUGUGCCAGAAGGUGGACCGCUGAUUAUACAGCACAGCGGGUAGGUCUUCUGAUUUUGCCAACCUCUUUUCUUGAACCUGUCAGCUGUCCAGAGUCUAUUUUGGGUGACUAGCUAGGAGAAGAAUUUGCAUUUUAGUGGGGCCCAGCGUGUGCACUUUCAAGUAGUAACUAAACAGUAUUAUCUAUUCAUCGACAGCACAAGAGAGUUCAGAGCCCAUUCGACUUGAAGUGAACAUAUAUAGGUUUUCCAAGAACUUGCCUAUGCAGUGCCGGUGAGUCUCUGCGCGUCGUCCCUGUCGCGGUUGAAGAUGAAAUUGCUCUUGUGAUCAAGCAAAUCGCGGACAGCGAUGAAGCCGAACACAUGGAGCGGCCACUCCAAUCCCCCUCUCAAUUCGGUUACCUUCCAUGAGUAGAUCUCCAUGCAUCGAAAGGUUUGUCGUUGUAGGUGUGGCUCAUUGGCCCUCUAGUAGCUGCAAAAUUAAAAAAUAUAUAUAAAAAAUAGAUAAAUCGCCAUCAGUUAAUCGUUCCUCCAACUCCAGUGCGUGGAACAAGAAGGGUUGAAUUGAAUCAAUAGAUCAACUACACUGGAUCAAAUCGCAAGAAGAAGAAAAUGUACUGAUAUCCUCGAAACCGCACACGUCGGCCCAAAAAAGCGAGAAUAUGAAACGGUAGUCGUCAGGGUUGGGCUCCUCGUAAUCUCCGGUCCGCGGCUUCUUCUUCUUCUUCUUCUCCUCCGAGUCGCUGCUGCGGUUGAUGGCGGCAUGGUUGCUUUCCGAGUCUCACUGUUUUGCUGUGCUGCCGACCAACUGCACUGCAAUAUGCCGUUUGCAGUCUUCAUUUUCAAGAGGGUUCUUUUAGUUUGUAUGAGCCUUUCAAUUACGUUUCUGUGCGAUUGUAUGUGUAAUGUUCUAGCAGCAGUCAUCGAUUAUAGGUUCCAUUGUUUAAAUCCUGCUCACAUAGUCACAUAUUUUGAUGCAGAAAUUCAGUUAAAAUGAAUCAAUGCUGUUAUAGCUGGCUGUCUUUUUUUUAUCUAUAAAGAUAUACUACCAAAUUGUUCUUUGUUAAUUCUUAUUUCUUUGCCAGGUUUCAUAAGCAUCGACUGUGGAUAUACUGCAACCCCGAGUUACACCGAUACUGUGGAUAUACUGCAACCCCGAGUUACACCGAUACCAACACAAGUAUAACAUAUGUGGGCGAUGAAGGUUUUAUAGAAGCAGGCAUAAACCACAAUGUAGACCUUAACAACUUGCAGCAGACAGAUCUUGCACGGCGAUACUCAACCAUCCGUUUCUUUCCCAAUGGAACGCGCAAUUGUUACACGUUCAAGUCCCUAACACCAGGUAGCAAGUGUAAAAUCAAAGGUGUUUUUGAUUAUUAUUUUGUGAUGAACAAUUGGCAUCGGAGAUUAUUGGUUUUGUUAUUUGGAAUUUAUUCACGAAGUGGUUUUGGAGAUGAUUGGAUUUAUAGGUGAAUUACAGGUGCUGUCAUUUUAUGUGACCGGUCAGACAGGGCUCUGGUAGCUGGUCAGACCGGCGUGUAUUGCGCGGUUAGACUGGCGCAGCCCGCGGUCUGACCGGUCGACGCUGUGUCGGUUUCGGUUUCGGGUUGUUUAUUUGGAUAUCCGUGAUUAUUUCAUGAUUAUGACUUCUAGAUGGAUACUAUACGUAUGUAAUACUGUUGUUUGCUACUAAUGAGUUAAGUUGGAGAUAGCUUGGUCUCGGAAUAUGGUUUCUUUGUUUAUUUCAUGUGUAGGUGACUCGAUGUCUCGGGAGAGUAUUUGCGGUGAUGGACUGGGAGUCGGCUUGGGGAUAAGACGACGUCCGUGGUGGUCAGAGAUCAUGCGGGAUACUUAGGCUAGAGUUGAUGCACGUGGUUGAUGGAGAUUCCAUAUGGCAUACGAUGGAGUUAUUGUGUGCGUAUGGGAUGCGGAGUCGAAUUUGGAAGGAGUCCAAAUUUGGUACGAUUGGUUAUGUAAAGUUUCUUUCUUGUACUAGAGGGUUUCCUAAGGUGUUUAGGACUCCUAGUAUGAGUUUGGUUUGUGGCUUUAGGCUGCCUACCUCGGGUAUAAAUAGAGGGGGAGCUUGAGGCUUCCCGGUAUCGUUUUUGAGAGCAAUUGAGUUGAGUUUUUAGUUAGGGUUUCGAGUUUAGUCGAAAUUUUUGUAAGGAGUGCUAUUGGUGCACUUUGUAAACACAGAAAGAAUCAAUAAAGUCGUCAUCUACUUUAAGAGUUAUUCGAUUUGUAUUUACCGGGUUUCGGCGGUCUAACCGACGAUAUACCAGCGGUCAAACCGGUGGUGGCGAGGCAGUCAGACCGGCGGCGGCGACAGCAAGCGGCAGCUGAUCUUGGCGGUCAGAACGGAGAUCUAAACUCGGUCAGACCGACGGCAACCAGGCGGUCAGACCGGCAGGGCAACUUCGGUCAGACCGCGAUCCGUCGAAUUUGAGGGUAACUUUUAUUUCCGCUAAAAGUUUUCGGUUUUUGGGUAUACCAAUCAUUCACCCCCCUCUGGUUGGCUUAGUUAUUGUGAUUCGAUCCUACAGCAAGUACUUGCUGAGGGCUGCCUUUGGCUAUGGGAACUAUGAUAGGAUAAACAGGCUCCCUACCUUUGAUCUCUACCUAGGGGUGAACUACUGGACAACAGUAAGGAUUGUCAAUGCCAGUACAGCAUAUGUGUUUGAGAUUAUCGCGGUGUCCCCAGCCGACUAUUUGCAAGUUUGUUUGGUGAACUCCUUUCAUUUCAGGGCUUGACUUGAGGCCAUUCCAGGAAAAAAUUUAUCCAGGUUCCAAUAUGACGCAUGCUCUAGUCUUGCUCAGCUUCUUCCGUAACACGGUCAAAUUCGGGCCCAAUCGCUACCACUUUGGAACUGAUGAUCAUCAAAUCAGGUAACUAUUCAUGCAAUGCUUUGCUAUGCAAUUUUUCUUUGACUUAUGCGUUUACCUGCUCGAUGUUCUUCUUAAUCUAUAAGGUUCCCAGAUGAUCCCCGCGAUAGGAUAUGGCAGAAGUAUGAAGAUGUCUCAGAAUGGACGGAUGUGCCAGAUACCGUCAAUGGGAUAGUCCAGAACUCUCCCAACGAUACAUACAACGUGCCAUCUGCAGUGAUGCGCAGUGUAUCCACUCCGUUGAAUGAUUCAAGAAUGGACCUGUCAUGGAGUUCAGAUUCUUCCAUGAACGUUGACAUUGCCACCAAGUUCUUUGUUGUUCUGUAUUUUGCUGAGGUGGAGGCCAUCCAAGGGAAUGCAUUGCGUCAAUUUGAUAUUAUUCUGGAUAAUAACACAUUAGUUAGUGCAUUCAGUCCAAUCUCCAUGAUGACUAGUGUUUUCUCGGGCAUUGUUCAAGGUUCUGGCAGUCAUGGCAUCUCCCUUGUGGCGACAUCAAUCUCCAAUCUUCCGCCUUUGAUUAGCGCAAUGGAGAUAUUCGUGGUGCGCCCACUGAAUGAAUCUUCCACUUAUUCUGAAGACGGUAUAUAAUAUGACCUUGAGAACUUUCAUAUUUGUUUCGUCUGUCCACAUGUUACUGUGAGUGUCAUAUUCGCUAUCAAGAUAAGAUUCAAACUAACUAAUGUCUAUUUGCCAUCAAAAUACAAACAGCUAUCUUGUUUUCGGUAUGCAGUUGUUUGGGGCUGGAGCACCUUGUGAUCAGAACUGUAUAUAGACAUUAUUUAUCAGUGCUCUGAAACUGAUGUAUAUAACUUACUUACAUUAUUAUGGAACUCAAAUAGUUGAUCUUAUGUUAAUGUAUCUACCAUUGGGGCCAAUUUUGAACUGAAUUAGAUUCAGCAUGCACGGAAUCUUCAUUAUUGAGUGGUUGAUUUUCUUUCUAUUUAUCUUUGCUAUCUUCAGCACAUUCUAUGAUGAUCAUCCAGACAAAGUUUUCUGUGAAGAGAAACUGGGCAGGUGAUCCAUGCUCCCCGGCAACCUUUUCAUGGGAUGACUUGAACUGCAGUUACACUCCCCAUGGUCCACCAAGAAUAACUGGCUUGUGAGUUCUGAAUGAACAAGAUAACUCAAUUACAUGCUGUGAUAAAAUGCAUGGAUAAAACAUUGAGUUGUAGUGUUCAAUUUAUGUGAUGAUGGUUUAAGUUUCCUGCAGAUAUAUGUCAUCUAGUGGAUUGACUGGUGAACUUGAUGCUUCGUUUGGUCAGCUGACUUAGCUCCAACACCUGUAUGUUUUGUAUAGUACGAUUUCAGACUUUCCAUGUUAUAAUAAUACCUCUUGCAUUACUGUUUAGCCACUAGUGCUUGUUGACUUGCUUUUUUUUUGAAGUAAUUUACUGCAGGGGAAGCCCCCACAGUAUAUUCUUAUUAUUAAUCAUAGAAGUUACAAACAAGUAGAUUACAAGUUGGAAAUCCACAAAGGAAGACUAUCCCUAUCUGAAUCCUUUAGUCUAUGAAGUAAAAGCAAGAGAUCACAUUUAAGAGUAUUCUUCCAGGAAACCCUCAGAAAUAGCUGUAUUCCUCUGUUUCCAAUUAUGCCAGGCUGCAUACAGAGUUUUCUCCAUAAAUAAAGUACCAGUAUAUUGGUGUUGCAUCAAUGCAUCAUUAUCAGCAUAUCAUCAAAGAGUAGAGAAGUGUCCCAGUUACAACCAGUGGAUAUCCAACAGCUUCUACUAAAAGAGCACUGAAAGAAGAAAUGACUUAGAGUUUCUCUAAUAUUCUGACCACAAAGCACACAAGUGAGAGGUACUCCUUGAGGAGCACAAUGUUUCCUGUCUAACAUAUCUCUUGUAUUUAAUCUAUCAAUCAACAAAAGCCAACCAAAAACCUUAAUUUUCAUUGUACACUUGCUCUCCCAUAUCCAGUGCAAGUAAGAUGGCAUGUACAUGAAUAAAAUUUAGGGCAUAAUUUUUCUGAGAAGAGAAGAUAUCAUUUCCCCAUAUAUAUAACUCCAUGUAUCAGUAUCAAUUGUUGUUGACUUGCAUUGGUCCCAUAAAUUACUAAAAUGUCUUAUUCUCAUUUGAGUAAUGACUCAAGUAUAAUCAUAAACUCUUUACUCUUCUAUAAUCCUAAAGGCUCCAUCGAACUAUAAUUUUUAUAUUUAAUUUGUAGUCUCUAUUCUUAUUAGUUUCACCUGUUCAUACUUCAUAUGUUGUAAGAAUUAAUUCUCGAGUUCAGUACUAAUUGUACUUUAGUUGAUUCUAAAGAACUAUCUUACUCUAAAUGUUUAAAAUGUUCAAGACACAAGCAUUUAAUAUCUCGCAAUCCUUCAGGAUUUCUUUGUAAGUGCUUCAUGUUACUGUCCAUUUUCAGGGAUCUAUCUCACAACAAUCUGUCGGGACCUAUACCUGAUUUUCUGGGCCAAGUGCCAUCGCUGAUAUUUCUGUAAGUCUUCCUGGUGAUCAAACUACAUUCUGCAAACAUCAAAGCACAUGAGGCCUCUUUAUCUUUAUCCCUCAUUUUCAUAGAGAUUUAUCAAGCAACAACUUCAGUGGAUCAAUCCCAACUAAUCUUCUACAAAAGUCUCAGGAAGGAUUACUGACACUAAGGUUAGCACAGCCGGGACAUGUUUGGCUUUUUUAUUUGGUAGUUCCGUCACUUUAUAAACGCAAUUAAUAACUGUAAAAAUACAGUAAUACCUUCAAGAAUAGCAUUUAUACUUUGGUUUGUUUAUUUCAAUCUGUAUAUCCUGUAUUUUAGCAUUUUGUUCACAUAUAUCUUAAAGUUGGUGAUAGUUUUGUCGCUCAUUUUAGUUGAGGCAUUAAUAUCCUUCAGGUGAUAUACUUGAAAUCCAUUAUACCAGUACACCAUAUUAUCCUGACUUGUUUACAUAAGUUUAAUGAUUUAUGUUAUGCAUGAUUAUCAAUAUUGAAAGGAAAGCGCACUUUCAUGGAAAAUAUCACUCAAGUCUCUCAGAACUUCAGUUGUGUUUGAAUGGAUUCUUGUCUUUCAUUCAUAAGCUAGAUACUAAUGUUCAAAUCACUUUUGUCAACCAUGAGAAUCCUAAGGCCCUGUUAUGCCACUAUCAUGGUAUCGCCUCGAGCAGUGACAUAUGAACUGCCUUGCGCUAUACCACUGAGAUGUACCUUAUUUCUAACUCAAUGAAAGUAUGAAGGGAUCUGACAAGACCUAAUUCCUUACUUCCAAUAUAUUGCAAUCUGACCAAUCAUAUUUUGUUCUUUUAGGACCGAGAAUAAUCCGAAUCUUUGUGGAACUGACAAAUGCGAUCUGAUUCUGAAUCAAAGCAAGAGAAAGACAAAACUUGUGCUUGAGGUUGUUCCCCCAGUCGUACUUGUGUUUGUAGUUCUACUUAUACUUGCUAUAUUUUGGUACUGCAGAAAGAAGAGACCAGGUAACUAAAUGAAUGUACAUAAAGAAGAGAAUUUUAGCUUCACUAUGAGAAUGUAGCGUAUGCUUCUCUUCCAGUUGAUAUUAUACUCAUGUGACCAGCAGAUGUUACUGGUGCAACUAAUCCAUUUGAGAACCGGAGAUUCAAGUACAAGGAACUCAAGCUCAUCGCAGAUAGUUUCAAAACCAUAAUUGGAAGGGGUGGGUUUGGUCCUGUAUACCUUGGCUAUCUAGAGAAUGGAACUCCCGUUGCUGUGAAGAUGAGAUCACAAACAUCUAAUCAAGGGAAAACAGAGUUUUUGGCUGAGGUACACAUACAUUACUCUGCCAAUACAAUGGACUACAAGAAGUUAUUGAUCAUUGGAUUAUACAAUUGUGUGUAGUUAGAACUGAUGAAUUAAAAGUAUAGUAAUUUAUCAAUUAUCAUAAAUUUCUUGGAAUUCUCAUUUGUUGUAUUACAGGCUCAGCACUUAGCCAGGGUCCAUCACAGAAACCUGGUGUCAUUAAUAGGCUAUUGCAACGAUAAGAAACAUCUAGCCCUUGUGUAUGAGUACAUGGAUGGGGGAAGCCUAGCAGACCACUUGAGAGGUUUGCAGAACUUUACCUCAGAAGCCGAUUUUUCAUUAUUGUAAAGAUAAGCCUCAUAUUGCAGAUUCCAUGAUUUCUUUUUCACAGGUCAAGAAGAUCUUCACACUGAACCCCUCACUUGGUUGCAACGCCUUAACAUUGCGUUGGACUCUGCCAAUGGUAACCAACAAGCUUCGAAGUUUUUCUUUCUCUCUUUCGAUAAUACGGGCUGAUAUCUGUAUAUUGACCUGAAUGCCCCUCUUAAUAAUACUUCAAAUUUUCAGCAUUAUGAUCAUUUAUCCAUAUCUGAUGUUUUAUUUUUUAACUAUUCAUGCAUGUAGGACUGGAAUACCUGCACAGGUCCUGCAGUCCACCAUUGAUCCAUAGAGAUGUGAAGGCCCACAACAUCCUUCUUACUGCAAAUUUCAAGGCAAAGAUUUCAGAUUUCGGCCUGACAAGGGCUUUCAGCAGUGAGACGAACACACACUCUACAACCGAACCAGCGGGUGUAGGAUCGAAUAGCAAGAACUAAGCCAACCAGGGGGGGUUGAAUGGUUGAUAUACCCAAAAACCAAAAACUUUUAGCGGAAAUAAAAGUUACUCUCGAAUUCGAUGAGAUCGGUCUGACCGGAGUAGAUUAGCCGGUCUGACCGAAGCAUAGCCGCCAGUCUGACCGGUGUAGAUCUCCCGGUUGGACCGCCCUGAAAUCCCUGCUGCGCCUGUCGCCGCCGCCGGUCUGACCGCCGCGAUGCCGCCGGUCUGACCGCCGGUGUGUCGCCGGUUAGACCGCCGAAACCCGGUGAAACACAAAUCGAAGAACUCUUAAAGUGGAUGACGACUUUAUUACUUCUCUCUAUGUUUACAAAGUGCACCUACAGCACUCCUUACAAAAAUUUUGACUAAACUCGAAACCCUAACUUAAAACUCAACUCAAUUUCUCUUAAAAGCGAUACCAGGAAGCCUCACGCUCCCCCUCUAUUUAUACCCGAGGUAGGCAGCCUAGAGCCACGAACCAAACUCAUACUAGGAGUCCUAAACACCUUAGGAAACCCUCUAGUACAAGAAAGAAACUUUACAUAACCAAUCGUACCAAAUUUGGACUCCUUCCAAAUUCGACUCCGCAUCCCAUACGCACACAAUAACUCCAUCGUAUGCCAUAUGGAAUCUCCAUCAACCACGUGCAUCAACUCUAGCCUAAGUAUCCUGCAUGAUCUCUGACCACCACGGACGUCGUCUUAUCCCCAAGCCGACUCCCGGUCUAUCACCGCAAAUACUCUCCCGAGGCAUCGAGUCACCUACACAUGGAACAAACAAAGAAACCAUAUUCCGAGACCAAGCUAUCUCCAACUUGACUCAUUAGUAGCAAACAACAGUAUUACAUUCGUAUAGUAUCCAUCUAGAAGCCAUAAUCAUGAAAUAAUCACGGAUAUCCAAAUAAACAACCCAAAACCGAAACCGACACAGAGUCGGCCGGUCAGACCGCGGGCUGCGCCGGUCUGACCGCGCGAUACACGCCGGUCUGACUGGCAGCACAUGCCCGGUCUAACCGGUCCACAUAAAAUCACAGCACCUGCAAAUCCAAUCAUCUCCAAAACCACUUCGUAAAUAAAUUCCAAAUAACAAAACCAAUAAUCUCCGAUGCCAAUUGUUCAUCACAAAAUAAUAAUAAUAAACACCUUUGAUUUUACAAUCUCCCCCUUGAUGAACACAUUGGCAAACCCAUUAAAAAUGUUUUUGUGUUUGGAAAAAUAAAAACAAAAGUGGUAAAAAGCACACUUCGUAAAAACGUACACAUCGUGCUCAAAAAUCCAAAAGAAAACUUCUCCCCCUUUUUAAAAGAAAGAAAUUCCCAAUUGAACCAAAAAACAUGCUCUUCUCAACAACUCUCCAAAAAUUCACCUUGCUCCAAAAAAUUUUCACAUUACUUCUCCCUCUUUUGAAAAUGAUUUCAUCAAGCAUAGGAAUUAUGUUCAUUAAUGUUCAAGAGCUUAGCAUACAUAUAGCAUAUCAAGUCAUGUGUUGCAAUAAAAAGAAGAUGAACCCAUCUAUAAUAUAACAAGCAUGCAUUAAAGUAUAACCAUGAACCAAAGAUUUUACAAUUAAGCUUGAAUCAACAAUCAAAAUUCAUGAUUUUCAUACGAUUUAUAAUGCAACAUCUUAACAAGCACAUAGGUUGAAGAAUAAACACUAAACACAUAUACCUAUUGCAUUUAUCACUCUUUCUCAAAUAACUUUUUAGCACAAAACAACAAAGAGAAUUUUUUUACCUUUUCUUUUCUUGAGCCUUUUUGCUCAUAUUUUUCUCUUUUUUUAUUCCGGGUACGUCCCUGUCGUCAAGACUGUUUCCAGGGAUUCGGCACCCAUUAUUUUGCUCACAUCGAAUACGUCCUUGUCGUCAAGACUGUUUCCAAGGAUUCGGUAUUCAUUUUUUUUUUCAUAUUUUUAUUCUCUUUUUCACAAUGAGCAAUUAAAGCUAUUUGAGGAAUAACAAGUCAAUAAAGCAUAUAUAUGGAGCAUUUAUAAAUCAAACCAUAUGCUAGCACCAACAUUGCAUAUUUUCUUAAUUCAAGUAUAGAAUUUAAGUGUCAUGCAUCAUCUCCCUUAAAAGCAAAAUCUAAGUCUCAUGAAAAGACUAGAAUACAUACAAACUAUGCUAGAGACAAAUAAACCUUCAAAGUAUUGCUAGCAUGCACAAGAAAAUACAAUAUGCAUAAACAAAGCUCUUUUUUUUUAUCAAUUUUUCUCAUUGUCAUAUUUUUGCUUGAUAAAACCAUGAGGUACAAACUCCCCCUCAAACCAUGCCAAAAGGAUGAAUUAUUCCCAAUUCACCACGAAGAAAAGCAAAGCAAUUAGAAUCCAAAGGUUUAGUGAAAAUAUCAGCAAUUUGCAACUUUGUGUCCAAAAACUGCAAUUCAACAUCUCCCUUCUCAACAUGAUCCCUCAGAAAGUGAAAGCGAAUGUCAAUGUGCUUUGUGCGUGAGUGUUGAACAUGAUUCUUAGCAAUGUUAAUAGCACUUGUAUUAUCACAAAAGAGAUGUACUUUCUCAAAAGUAAGACCAUAAUCUUUCAAAGUAGAUAAAAGCCAAAGAAUCUGUGAACAACAACUAGCAGCAACAACAUAUUCAGAUUCAGCAAUUGAUUGAGCAACACUAGAUUGUUUUCUAGAAGACCAUGCAAUCAAUGAUGUACCAAGAAAAUGACAUGUUCCACUAGUACUUUUCCUAUCAAUUCUACAACCUCCAAAAUCAGCAUCGGAAUAUCCACUUAAGCAUAUAGAAGAUGAAGUAGAAUACCAAAUUCCAAACUCAAGUGGAUGAUUCAAAUACCUCAUUAUUCGCUUGACCGCUUGACGAUGUGAAGCACGAGGAGAAGCUUGAAAGCGCGCACACAAACACACAACAAAUUGUAUGUCUGGCCUAGAAGUAGUUAGAUACAAUAAAGAUCCAAUCAUACUUCUAUAUUCCUUUUGAUCAACGGCUUCACCAUCUUCAUCAGGAUCCAACACAGCUGUAGAACCAAUUGGUGUUGAAAUUGGCUUGCAAUUCUCCAUCUUGAACCGUCUCAAAAGAUCCUUCGUAUACUUCGUUUGAUGCACAAAAGUACCUUAAGGUGUUUGCUUAAUUUACAAUCCCAAAAAGUACGAUAACUCACUCAUCAUGCUCAUCUCAAAUUCCCUGCGCAUAGUCUCAGCAAAAUCUACAACCAAAGCGUGAGUUGAACAACCAAAGAUGAUAUCAUCCACAUAAAUCCGAACGAACAGUUGAUUAUCACCAUGCUUAAGAACAAAAAGCGUUUUGUCAACCUUUCCCAUUGUAAAACCUUUCGUAAGCAAAAAGUUCUUAAGCCUAUCAUACCAUGCCCUAGGAGCUUGUUUCAAACCAUACAAAGCUUUAGACAAUUUAAAAACAUGGUUGGGAAAAUUAGGAUUUUCAAAACCUGGUGGUUGUUUGACAUAAACUUCCUCCUGUAUAAAACCAUUUAGAAAAGCACUUUUCACAUCCAUUUGAUACAAUUUAAAACCUUUUGAAGCAACAAAAGCCAACAAAAGUCUAAUUGCCUCAAUGCUAGCAACAGGAGCAAAAGUUUCAUCAAAAUCCAAACCCUCAACUUGAGUAAAAUCUUGAGCAACAAGUCUAGCUUUAUUUCUCACAAUCAAACCAUCCUCAUUUUGUUUAUUUUUGAAAACCCACUUGGUUCCAAUAAUAUUAUGUCCAAAAGGUGGUUCAACUAAAGUCCAAACUUUGUUUCUCUCAAAAUUUUCAAGUUCUUCAUGCAUGGCGUUAAUCCACGAUUCAUCAGUUAAUGCAUGUGACACAUCUUUGGGUUCAAAAGAAGCAACAAACGCAGAAUUUGCACAAACAUCAUGAGCCGUUACCUUAGACCUUGUAGUCCGCUCACCUAUAUUACCAAUAAUUUGUUCCGGCGGAUGUCGUCAUUGAAUGUGUAAAGGAGCAGCAACUUCUGAAGUUGAUCCACGUUCUGUUUCAGUACUGGUCGAAGUUGAAUUCUCUGGAGGUCCAUCUCGAUCAGCAUCAUCAGUACCUGAACCCGACGAACCUGGCCGGUCUGACCGCUCCUCCUGAGCCGGUCUGACCGGAGGUGUGCUGGCGCCCGGUCUGACCGGCCUGGCGCCCGGUCUGACCGGCCGAGCCGACCUCGUCAUCGUCGUCGUAGUCGCUCUCAUCUUCAAAAAUACGACCAUCCUCCCCCUGAACCUGUGACAGUGUACCUACAAAUUCGGGUCUAGUACCUGGACUAGCCUCAUCAAAAGAAACUUCGCAAGUCUCAACGAUUUUGUUAGUCUCCAAAAUAAGUACACGAUAGCCACGAGUAUGUGCGGGGUAGCCAAGAAACAAUCCAUCGGUAGAACGUGCCUCAAACUUGUCCAAAUUUCCAGAUUUCAAGACAAAGCACUUGCAACCAAAAACACGCAAAUGUGAAACUUUGGGUUCAUGACCAAAUCAAAGUUCAUAAGAAGUUUUUCCAAGUUUUGAUCUCAAGAAAACUUGAUUUGAAAUAUAACAUGUAGUGUUAAUCGCCUCAGCCCAAAAUUUUCUAGGAGUGUUGUAUUCAUCCAACAUCAUUCUAGCCAUCUCAACCAAAACACGAUUUUUUUCUUUCAACAACACCGUUUUGUUGAGGAACACGAGGAGAAGAAAAUUCAUGUUCAAGACCUCUUUCAUUGCAAAAUUGUUCAAACAAAGCAUUUUUAAACUCACCACCAUUAUCACUUCGAAUUCUUUUCAAAGAACCAGGAAAUUCAAGAUCUAAUCGAAGAAACAAACCACGAAAGUGUUGAAAAGCUUCGUCCUUAGUUGCCAUAAAGAAAACCCAAGAAUAUCUAGAAAAAUCGUCAACAAUAACCAACACAUACCACUUUCCUCCAACAGAUUGCACUCUAGCUGGACCAACAGUGUCCAUAUGUAAUAGCUGUCCCAGUGCAACCGUCAUCACAGAAACAAUAGGAGCAUGUGAAGUAGAAACCAUCUUAGCAUGAUGACACGGCGUACGAACCAAAUCAAGAUCUUUCUUAAGUUUAGGCAAACCACGAACAAGAUCCAAACCACUUAACCUAGUGAGAUGAUCAAAACCAACAUGUCCAAGUCUACGAUGCUAAAACAUCACAUCUUUAUCAAACUUAGCAACCAAACAUGUUAUCACAGGUGAAACAGGAUUUUCAAAAUUAGCUUUAAACACUCUUCCAUAGCGAGAAAUAUUCAACACAGAAUCACCACGAGAAUCAAAAACUUUACUUCCAGUUUUCUUAAAGUGAACCUCAAACUCUUCAUCAACAAUUUGUGAAACCGAAAGCAAAUUGUACUUUAAGUCCUCAACCAAAGCUACAUUCUUCAAUUCAAAUUUUUCAUUUACCUUAACCAAAACUGUAGCGAGAACAGCACUCGUAGAAGCAUCACCAAAGAUAAUUGAUUCAGUCUUGGAUGCCUUUUUGAGGGAGGAGAACCAAUUUUUAUCACCGGUCAUGUGCCGCAAACAACCGGAAUCCACGAUCCACACGUUCUCCUUCCUUGCUACCAAAGCCUACACACAAACAGAAGUCGAAGCCUCAGUACUGGGGUUAGAUGAUAAUAAAAAUUUAGGAAUCCAGUACUGAGACACACGACCAAAAGAUCCAAUAGGCAUAUAUCCACGUGCAAAAUUAAUUUUAGAAUUUUCAGAAAAAAUCCUCUGAGGCCGGUCUGACCGAGGGUGUGCAGCCGGUCUGACCGGGGGCCGGUUUGACCGAGGCUUCACCGCCGGUCUGACCGGUGGUCGGUCUAACCGGGGCUGUUCAGCUGGUCUGACCGGUCGCCGGUCCGACCGCGGGACCCAAUGCGGUAUGACCGGUUUCCUCGAGGGAAAACCCGAUUUUUGCCACUUUGAUUUUGCAAAAGUAAUCUCUCUCUCCUUUUUCUGUUUAUGAGCUAAUGUGAAACAAAAACCAACAAUAUAUUCAUCUUUGCCACAAAAAGAACAAGUAUACUUUUCACGUUGUUUAGACACAUUAUUAGCAUUAGAAGAUUUAGCAACACAAGCAACAACAGGAGGUUUUGCAUGCACAACAUUGGAUUUUGAAGAAGAUGCAUUCAAGGUAGACAUGAUGCCAGCAGAUUUAAACACAGUUUUAUUAGUAUCAGGUUUAACCAAAAUCUCACCACUUCUAGCACCAACACCUAACACAACAGGAGGAUGUCUAGAAUUAUGAGCAUAAGAAUUAAAACCUAAACCACGAUUAUGUGUGCUAACCUUUGAUUGAUCCAAAAUCAUGUUGAGGUUCUUUUUACCAUCAGAAAAUCUUUGCAAAGAAUUUUUCAAAUAAGAAACCUCUUUUUCCAAAUUAGCACAAUUUUCACAAUCUACCAUGACACCUUUGCUUUUAUGACAUUUGGGGCAAGAAAGCACUUCAUUGUUUUUCACAACAUCUUCCAUGUACUCAACACGACCUAAAGCAUCUUUUAGUUUCAUCUUAUUCAAAUUACAUAUUAAGCAAUCCAAAACAUCAUGAGAUUGUUUUAACUUUUUAGCAGAAAUCAUGUUAAACAUCAAACUAGCAUGAAAAGUAAUUUGAUAUUUUUGAAACAAUUUUUUAGUUAAAAACAACUUAUCCAAAGUGCGUGUGUGCAAAGCAAAACUACAUGUUUGAUGGAAACAAAACAACGAACACACAGAAAAUAGGGAAACCCUGUAUUUUAUUAAUCAUGAUUCAUUAACAUGAAUGUUUACAAAUACAUGAGAGCUCCCGCAGGAGUUCGCCUUUUGCCUUCGUGAGGAAUGCUUAAUGAAAAGGUAUGCUGACUGGAGAUUGCGUGCAGUCCGUUGAUUCCCGACGCCUAACAAUGAGGCUACCGGUUAAUUACAUCCACAGGACGAGCCUAUGUAAUACCUCCGAUUAAGCUGCGCUUUAUGAUCGUCGUCUUCAAAGUUGUUUGCUCGCCGAAGGUUGAGGUUGGUGCAGAUUUAAUGUUGAAUACAGUGAAUGUGGAACGGAUGGCUUUGUUUCACCAAAACCCGGUCACAGUACACUACCACCACGUCGGAGUGCGGAGAGAAUUUGGUGAAGCGGGUGACCUUUGCCUCGUCGGUGCCCAGUCAUGUACCCCGGCCUUCAUCAAACAUGGAUUUUAUUGUUGCUUUUGCCUUGUCGGUGCCCAGCAACGGUGCAUCCGGUUCCCGUCCGUUUUAGACGUGUUAAUAGUAUAGUGACCUGGCCUUGUCGGCACUCGGCCAUGGUUUCGUCUAGCCUCGUCGGUCAUAGACAAAUGAAAUGAAUGAAUAGCUGUAGCCUUGCUAGCUUUAGCCAAUACGUCGUUCGGCCUCGUCGGUCUUACACAUAGCAUAAAUAAUGAUAAUCCAGCCAUUUCAUCUCGUCAACACUCGGCCAAGAUGUCGACGUGUGUUUUAAAUCUGCACGCCUCGCCCUCAUGGCUAGCGUUAUUUUAUUUAGCGAAUAUCCCCCGUCCAUCCGGUAGAAUUUGGAGAGGGAAGGAAUUGCUCCCGUACAUGACAUGCACGAGGCAAUAUGUGACUCAUCCGGCAUGAAUAUAAAUAUGUAUAAAUCAUGGUUGGUCUGAUGCCAAUAAGACUCAAACUCAUCCCAAGUUUAUAUAUAAAUAAAUAUCCACAUCCAAUAUUUGAUAUUGAUAAUUUAGACGGUCCAACCCUCACGAAGGUCAGGCUCGCCUUGUAUUUAUUUGUAGCUCAUAUUAAUCGCUUGACAAAGAUGACGUGUGUGUGCAUGCGCCGCUGGGGAUACUUAUAUCCAUGGCUGACAUAUUCAUCAGUACUCCACUUUACUUUUCUGUCAGCCGGGCCACGCAACUGCGCAGCACUACGGCGUGCAUCUGAUCUUUUUGCUCCCCUGAUGUUUUAUCAGGCCUGCAGCACAUGCAGAUUAGCUUGAUGACGAACACCGGCACAAUCGUCGCCGGCAAUGAUUAAUCUCCUCGCGAAUUGCCGCCGAUGGAAUUUAAUCUCCUUUUGCCUAAUCGGAAUCAAGCUCCUAAUCAAAUAUUUGUGGGUGCGUGUACGUGUGGUUUAAGGUUCAUCGCCGGCUCAGGCUUGCGUGCUGUGCAGCGCCCGACGCCGGCGACGGCGUGUGAUUGUGUAUCUAUUGAUAUAGGCUUCUGGAUGUAUGGGUGAUUGAUCAGAUCAGAGCACGCAGCAGGGUUGCCCUGCUACGUCUCCUCCUCUGCCAGCCGCCUCUGCGUCGGGGGUUUUCUCCAAUCUCCCCCGGCGUCGUGAGGGACAGCGCCUUAUAUAAGGGUAGAGGCGACGGCCGGCGUCCUCGCCUAAUCCCUUCCGAGAUUCCAGCGCAAGCCAGCGAAAUCACGCGUUAAUUCUCUGGAUAAGCCAGCGCGUCUGUUAAUCCAACGACCUGCGCGUGAUAAAAAGAAUUUUGUGCUCCAGAUAAAAAGAACGUGUGUGUGCUGGAGAUAAUCACGAGGAUUAACUUGGCUAAUUGACAGUGGACGCCACACCUCAUAAGGAUAAUUACCAACCGGUGAGGAGCAGCAAACCAAUUAAGGAUAUACGGUUAACACUAGUUGAUCUUCUCCUUCAAAUGUUUAUAUCUCUCUAAUCAUAUAUCAAAUAUGAAUUCUGUCGGAACCAUUAUUUUCCAAUCAAAACAUACAACAAAACGAGUCCAAUUUUGAAUAUAUUUGAACAUCGUAUGAUAUUUGAAUUUUCUGGUCCCACACGUCAUAGAGACACAUUUCACGUGUAUUUCGUAAAAUUGGGCUGCAAAUUAAUGCCCAAUGAUAUAUUAUUUUUUCUAUGAAUUUUGGCAAAAAAUUAAUCGAACACUACAAGCAAGAGAAGAUCUAUUUUUCAAAUCAUGUGUAGCAUUAACAUUUCUAAUUUUUGAAAUCUCAUUCAUUAAAACCUCAUAAUUUGAGCAAUCAUCAUCAUUAGGAAUAAGAGAUUUUAAUCUAUCAAUUUCAGAUUUAAGAGAUUCAAUGAUAAAUUCCUGUUUUCUAUACAUCUUCUCACACUUCAUAUUUUUUGCACUCAAAAUAUUAAUAGCUUCCUCAAAAGCACUUACCUCAUGAUCUUCAUACUCAAUGUCUGAUUCACCACGCACCAUGAAGCAAACACCGGAGAUGUUCUUUCCCUUAUCAUCAUCUCCACUCUCACCAUCUACAUCACUUGAUGGCUCAAAUGAGGCAUAGACUUGAUCAAAAGCCCUCCUAAGAUUCUCCUUGAACUUCCUCGCUUGAGAUGAACCCUGCGGCUUGUUGUUGUUGGGCUUGUUGUUGCUGAACUUCUCACCAUCUUUGUCUUCUCUUUUGCCUCUCCCAAGCUUAGGACAAUGCGAACGAAGAUGAUAAAUUGAACCACAUUCAAAGCAACGAUUUGGACCACCUCUUUUCCUGUUCCUGGCAUUAUUCAUAGCUCGAGCAAUACAGUUAGCAACCAAAGCCAAAUCCUCCUCCUCGAUUUGUUCGAGUUGAUCAUCGGAUGUGGCAUUAAAAACAGCAAGCAAAGAAGGCUUAGAUGAAGAAACAUCAACAUCCGAAGAAGAAAUAGAAGAAACCAAAGCAGUCGACUUAGAAUCAACUUUUCGAGAAAGAACAUUCAUCUCAUGUGUUUUCAAUUUGGUGUAAAGUGAGUUCAAAGUCAAAGUAGACAUAUUAACAGACUCCUGAAUAGAUGUAACUUUCAUCUCCCAAAUAGACAUAUUGAGACCGUUCAAAAAGUGAUGAGAAAUCUCAGAUUGUGGAUAAUUAGCAUUAUAAGAAGAAUCAACAGAUCUAAGAUCACUCAAAAUUUUAUUAAACCUAGAAAGAUAGUCAUCCAAAGCUUCUCCAAGUUUCAUCUCAAAUUUAAUGUACUCCUUUUUUAAAAGAUCUCGACGAAGCUCUUUAAUGUUAUUUGUUCCUUGAUGAAAAUUACUCAAAGCAACCCAAAUCUCAUGAGCAGUUAGAAGAUGAGCAACACGAUCAUAAUCCAAACGAGAAAUACCACUCAAAAGAAUAUUGCGAGCUUUGCAAUUUUGUUCAAAAGCAGUUUUUUCAGCAGCAGUAUUAAUGGCUUCAGGAAUCACAUAAGCAUGAGAAACUUUUCUCCAAAUAUCAUAAUCUUCAGCCAUAAUGUAAGAUUGCAUCCUACUACACCAAUGAGAAAAAUCCAUUCCAUCGAAAACAUUAGGCUUAGUUGAAAAACGAGCGGGAGUAGCCAUGGCAAAAACUCUAGAUCGAUAAAAAUCCAAAGAAGAAAACAACGCUCUGAUACCACUUGUAGGAUCGAAUAGCAAGAACUAAGCUAACCAGAGAGGGAUGAAUGGUUGAUAUACCCAAAAACCGAAAACUUUUAGCGGAAAUAAAAGUUACCCUCGAAUUCGAUGAGAUCGGUCUGACCGGAGUAGAUUAGCCGGUCUGACCAAAGCAUAGCCGCCGGUUUGACCGGUGUAGAUCUCUCGGUUGGACCGCCCUGAAAUCCCUGCCGCGCCUGUCGCCGCCGCCGGUCUGACCGCAGGUCACCCGCCGGUCUGACCACCACGAUGCCGCCGGUCUGACCGCCGGUGUGUCGCCGGUUAGACCACUGAAACCCGGUGAAACACAAAUCGAAUAACUCUUAAAGUGGAUGAUGACUUUAUUACUUCUCUCUGUGUUUACAAAGUGCACCUACAGCACUCCUUACAAAAUUUUCGACUAAACUCGAAACCCUAACUCAAAACUCAACUCAAUUGCUCUCAAAAGCGAUACCGGGAAGCCUCACGCUCCCCCUCUAUUUAUACCCGAGGUAGGCAGCCUAGAGCCACGAACCAAAUUCAUACUAGGAGUCCUAAACACCUUAGGAAACCCUCUAGCACAGGAAAGAAACUUUACAUAACCAAUCGUACCAAAUUUAGACUCCUUCCAAAUUCGACUCCGCAUCCCAUACGCACACAAUAACUCCAUCGUAUGCCAUAUGGAAUCUCCAUCAACCACGUGCAUCAACUCUAGCCUAAGUAUCCCGCAUGAUCUCUGACCACCACGGAUGUCGUCUUAUCUCCAAGCCGACUCCCGGUCCAUCACCGCAAAUACUCUCCCGAGGCAUCGAGUCACCUACACAUGGAACAAACAAAGAAACCAUAUUCCGAGACCAAGCUAUCUCCAACUUGACUCAUUAGUAGCAAACAACUGUAUUACAUACGUAUAGUAUCCAUCUAGAAUCCAAAUAAACAACCCGAAACCGAAACCGACACAGAGUCGGCCGGUCAGACCGCGAGCUACGCCGGUCUGACUGCGUGAUACACGCCGGUCUGACCGGCAGCACAUGCCCGGUCUGACCGGUCCACAUAAAAUCACAGCACCUGCAAUUCACCUUCAAAUCUAAUCAUCUCCAAAACCACUUCGUAAAUAAAUUCCAAAUAACAAAACUGUCACGCCCGGAAUUUCUAUCCAAAAUUCCAAACGCUUACAUGUGUGUAAACCCUCGUCCAGGAAUCAGCCGAGGCACACAAUAACAAAUUGAUAAUAGAGUACAAUUAUUACUCUAAUUAAUAAGCGAAUAUAAAGUCAUUACAGAGGUAGAUAGUUCCUCUCAAACAAUAAAAAUCUAAGCAGCGGAAAAUAAGAUAAACGGCGCAGGCGUCUCCAUCCCACAAGCAGCUUGACCAGCGCUACGCCUAAUCCUCCACACCUUCAGCAUCACUGUAGAACUCCUCCUCUGAUGAAUGAUUGCAAGGUGAGUAUAUGACAUACUCAACAAGCCACGCAACAAAUAUGCAAGUGCAGGGGAUAACAAAGGAUGGCAUAAUAUAGUCUCAUUUGCAUAAAUGGCAUUUAAUAAAUACUUCAGAAUUUAGUAAAACAGUAAAGUAUUUAAUUAAACAAUAUUAAUCCAACGAUAUACAACAUACCCGUUGUAUAGGCCCAACCAUUCUGAAUAACCAUUCUCGGCUGCACAGUUCUAUCUCCAAACCAGGAAUACAUCAUUCCAAACCAGGAGCUAACAAGUUAUUACCAAUUACAGCAUCAUUUAUUAUGGUGAGAGGUAUGAGACUAAUCACGAAAGACAUUGUUAGACCCGCCCAUAACCGCGGGCACGGCUAUUCGAAUAGUUUUACUCUAGCUAGAGGUGUACCACUGUACCCACAAGACACAACCUCAACAUCAUGUCAACCAUGCGUCGCAAUACUUAACAAGUACCCGAAUAGAGAUUGUGACAAUACCAUUCGCAUAACACAAUUAAAAGCAGUACAGCGUUCCUGGAUCAUAAUCACCCCCUUAUAAACAAGGCAUGGACUCCCCAGCGACCCCCGUGGGCUUAUCUCCGCCACUUCACAGUCUGGUGCUCCACAAUGAACCACACUAUACAAAAGGUAAACCCGUUGCCCACGCUGGCUUGUGGUUGGCACGGUUAAUGUUUCACAACCGAAAAUCGUGAACCGGUCCUUAAUUGUCAUGAGCACGACCAUCAAAACCAUGUGCUCACAACCCACCAUUAUCAUGUUUUAGUUGGCAAAUUAAUUAAUCAUCCUAUCAUGAUUAACCAUCAUGAGCUACCAUUAAUCCAUCAUUUAGUAAUAGUGAAUCAUUAGUUAUCCCAUUUAUAUGAGCUAGUGUCUCUAAGCAUGGCUAAGCAUCCUAAUUGCUUUAGCUAAAACCAUAUAAUGUUCUAGCUAAUCCAAUUAUUAACCAGGUGACAAAGUAUAGGUAAGCAAUAACAAAGGGCUAUAACAAAGGCAAUAGGUUAUUCCCACCCAAUGACAUUCAAAAUAAAUGCAAUAGUUGAAUAGAAACAAUAGCUUUAAACGGAAUCAACAUGCUCAAAGGGUUGUUUAGGAUCUGUGUGACUUGACUUGCUGACCUUGGAACUCUUCAAAGUCUUCUCCUGCAAACUCAGACUCUCCGGGAACGUCGGAAUGUAAGCAUAAAAGAGCAAAAAUCACCAAAACAGUACAUAAAAAAUCAUAAACAGCACUUGUGGAUAUUUUUAACAUGUAGAUCUCAAUUUUAGAAAAAUUUAGAGACUUGAACCAACUAAAUCCGAGCUAAGAUGAAUUAGUUAUGAAUUUUUAAAGAUUAAAUCGGAUUAAAUCAUUUAUUUAGAUUUUAAUUGAAUUAUGACGCAAUAAAGAAUUAUUUUUGAAAAGGAAAAAGGAUUUAUUGCGUCAUCGGCUCGGGUUCACGGUGAACCGGGUGCACGGAGACGGUCUACAAAACGAACGGCCGAGAUCUAAUCUAAUCCAAACGAACGGCCGAGAUCUAACUGAUCUACCGCGGUCUACGGCUGACAUGGCGCUGACGUCGACGAUGACGUCAUCACCGGCGGCGACUCGGCACCUCGUGCUCGCCGGCGAACGACGGCGCGGCGGCGCAAACGGAGGGCACCAGCGGGUAGUGGGCGACGCGGCGAACUCACCGAAGGCUCGGACGACGGCGGACGGCAAAAGACGGCGACGGCGGUGAGGUCGAAGCGGCGGAGACGUUCGGGUCGACGACGACGGCGAUGCUCCGGUGGUCCUCGGCGGAAACGAAGGAUGGGACGAGGACAGCGACGACUUGGCGAACCCGAUGGCGGCCUUCCCGAGCGACGACGACAACCGGAGCGGCGGCGACGCACGACUGGACUUGCGGCGGCGACGGCGGCGCACGGCUUGACGCGGCUAGAGCUCUACCGGCGGUGGAGGGCUAAGGCGAGGGUGGCGACGAAGAGAGGAGGUCCCGGGGGUCCUUAUAUAUGGGGUAGGGGGCAGCGAUGGAGGCCCACGGCGGCCGGCGGCGAGAUGGAAGGUUUAAGGUUAGGAAAGAAAAUCAAAUCCGAAUCGAGAUCAAAUCCGGCGAUUUCCAAACGAAAUUAGAUGAAGUUUCCAAAAGAGAAAAGGAAGAGGAGAUCCCGAGGAUCAUUUCCCCUCUAGCAAUUUGAUCGGAUCGGGAAAGACGCGGCCGAAUUUGGAAGGAGGUGGCGGCGGCUUGCGCGCGGCUAGGGCGCGGCUGCGGCGGGAGGAGGAAGACGACCCUGACAGGUGGGCCCCACCUGUCAGCGGGAGAGAGGAGGGAGAGUGGCGGCUCGGCUCAGCGGGCUGGCUGGGCCGGGCGCGCUUGGGCCGGGGAGAGAGAGAGGGGGUUUUGGGCCGACUUUCGGCCCAAAGCUAAAAGAGGACUUUAAAACCUUUUUCUUUUUAAAUUAUUCAUGAAAUGCAAUUCCAUUUAUUAAAAAUACUUUCUUGGCUCAAAUAAAUCCCAGAAAAAUCUAGGAACUAUAGAAUCAAGUGAAGUAUUUAAUAAAAUUUUAUCUGGCCCACUUCUAUAUUGGAAUUUAUUAUUUAAAAUUAGAUCUUUUCUUCUAGGCUUUUAAAAUCAUUUCUAAUAAUUCAAUUUAAACAACAAUUUAUAAAUUUAGGAUUUUCAGGGUGUGACAAAAACCAAUAAUCUCCGAUGCCAAUUGUUCAUCACAAAAUAAUAAUCAAAAACACAUUUGAUUUUACAGCGGGUACUCCUGGAUACUUGGAUCCUGAGUAUGCAUGUCCUGGACCCCUAAUUAUUACAUUUUACAUAAAAGAUUAGCAUAACUGCUGGCAUUCAAUUGGAGAAGAAUCUGAUGUGAUAAUCCUUUUAUAUCAUGAGCAUUCAGGUACUACGAAACCUCUCAUCUAAGCGAAAAGAGCGAUGUAUACAGCUUUGAAGUCGUUCUCUUGGUGCUCAUCACAGCUCAGCCAGCAAUCAUCCCCAUCAGCGACACGGAAAAAAAGAACAUCCUGCUGUGGGUGCAUGAGAGGCUCGCAGAAGGAGACAUCGAGGGCGUCACUGACCCGAGGAUAAGAGCAGAUUAUGAUCUCAACUCUGUAUGGAAGGUGGCCGAUCUCGCUCUGCACUAGGCGUGCAGGGCGUGAUCGGCCAAAGAUGACGGAGGUGGCAGAAGGUAUAAGGGAGAGUUUGCAGCUGGAGACCUCAUGGCGUUCUAUGAGGGGCAGCUCCACUGGGACACUUGGUGAUGCUGAGUCUGUUGGUGUGCCUGAGUCUGAACACAUCGGAGAAACAUCUGCCCGUUGACUUGCAUUGUGGUCUUCCAACUUUUUUUUUUAUCCACAAGUAUGGAUUUCAUUACUGCUUUAGUUAUAUUGUUUUCAUCUAGACCUGAACUUGGUUUGUUGUGCCUGUAAUGUGAUCAUAAGUUCUCCCUGACAGGAACUGAGCAAGGAGACGUUGCAGGUCAUCAGCAAGCAGUUUAUUUUUUGUUUUCUUAUUUGUUAUUUUUGGGCUAUUCUGAUGUCCACAUAUUACUGCAGUGUAGUAUGUUGCUACUAAAGAGGAUCCACAUCCUGGGCAUUGUGCUCCUUGUAUUUGUCGGCUAAAUUCUUCGCUGUACCUAGUACUGAAUGAGGGCAGAAAACCCAAAUUUGUGAAAUUCAUGUCCCAACAAUUUAUAUAUUGAGAUGCUAUGAAGUGAAACAUAGACACGCUCAGCAAAAAUGUCAUACAGUCAGUGCUGCUAGUUACUCGCUCCACUAUUGACUUUGGUUAAAACGACUUAGGCUCUCAUCGCUUCGCCAUUGGAUUAUAAUCCGAAGCCAAAUUUUGAAUUUUCAAACUCAAUUUUAUGAUUGAUUUUUAAAAUUCUUCAUCGUGGUUUUUUCUAUAUUUGUUUUUUGAAGCACGAAUAACACAUGUACAAAAGUUUUACAUUUAAAUUAUUUUUUAUUUAUGAAAACGCAUUUUCCGUAUUUUGGCCAUUUAGAACAUCCGAUGAGGCCCUUAUUAUAUGAUGAACUGACAUCUGUUACAUACAUAACUUCUUUAGAGACCUCAUUUUAUUCGUCCAUUAUUCUUCCAUCACAACAUUACAAACACGAGGGAUCUUCUUUAAUUAUUCAGCCAGUACAUCAACAAAGACGAUCGAUCGUUAACCAUUUAACCCUCACCAGUGUAAUUAGCCUUCUUAUCAUAGUACCUAUCAUAGACAGCCAAACCACCAUAGUUAGGCAGCUUGGUAACAAACUGCAGAUAUUCAUAAUAAAGAUCCUUCUGAAAAACCCACGCCUCGUCCUGCUCCGGCGACGCCACCAACCCUAUAUACACCUUGCUUCCCGGAUACGCCGCCGCCCAUUUCUCCCACGAAUACCUCGACGAUAUCACGCACCGCCGCUCGAUCUCGCCGGCGCCGUACAUCCUCACAUGAAUCCGAUCAAACACCUUCGUCGCCAGCGCCUUCUCCAGCCGAUGAUCCGGGUACGAGCACCUCGUCGUCGCCGUCCAGAUCACGCCGGCGCCGUAGCCGUGGAGGCGGCGAGCGAGUUCGUCGUAGUGAUCGGCGCCGCCCUGGUCGAUGAAGAAGUCAACGCCGUCAACGGCGGCCUCGUGGCCAAACGGACGCGACACGCCGGCGCGGCGGCCGGCGAGGAAAGCGUUCCAGAGGUUGUCGGCGACAUCGGCGGCGGAUUGGGAGGUGGGGAGCGAGUAUCCGCCGCCGUAGCCGCCGAUGGCGAGGAGGAUCGUGACGUUUCUUGAUUUCUGGCAGUGGAUGAUGUCGGCGCCGACGGCGGUGACGUCAUGGCCGGAGAUGUCGAGGUUGUAGUUGCCGGGGUGGUAGCCGAAGACGUUGUAGAAUGUGAUGAUUACGGUGGUGUAGCGGCCGGUGUCGCAGGCCUGGCGGAGGGUGCCUUCGUCGGCGUCGGCGUGACGGCCCCAGUAGAUUGCUAGGCCGCCGACGUAGCCGUCCGCCGUCGCCGGCGCGGCGAGAUGGCCGGAGAUUAUUGUGAGCAGCAAUGCUGCUGCUAGUGCAAAGGGUAAGGGAGGGAGAGCCAUUUUGCAACGACAGUGUCAGUGUACAGUGGCUGUGAGCUUGCUUGAAGUGAUUUCUGAUGUACUCCUAUGUGUAGAGGAGCAAUUUUACGGUUCUUAAGUAGGUACUAUAAAGUAUUAUUUUUUCUAUUAUAAAUUUGAUAUCUUAUGUUACCUUUACACUAAAAUUUUGGUACCUCAUGGUAUCUCCUCAAGUACCGUAGAAUUGCUUAAAUGUAGAGAAGAAGAGAUUUGUGAUUAUGUAAUGUACUCUCUCCGGUUUUUAAUGUUUGACACUCCUCAAGUACCGUAGAAUUGCUUAAAUGUAGAGAAGAAGAGAUUUGUGAUUAUGUAAUGUACUCUCCGGUUUUUAAUGUUUGACACCGUUGAUUGUGUAGUGCACGUUUGACCACUUGUCUUAUUAAAAAAAAUAUUUAAAUAUUUAUAAAUAUAAGUCAUGCUUAAAAUAUCUUUUGUAAUAAAUCAACUCGUAACAAAAUAAAUACUUCAGAAUAAUAUUUAGAUAAAUUUUUUAAAUAAAAUGAAUGGUCAAAUAUUCUAUCGUAAACAGUGUCAAACAUUGAAAACCAGAGGGAGCAAUCUUUUUUCUUGGGGUCUAGCUGCUGCUAGGCACCUAGGUAGUGGUCUAUUGUGGUGUGCGUGAUUUGGAUGCGUAUAGGUUAAUGGAUGGAUUUGAUGCAUGUGGGUUGGAUAUGUUGAUGAGAUUUGACCGUUGACUCGACCAGCGGCUACCACGUCAUCGGUGCUGGUCGAUCUCGAUCCAAAACUAACUAAUCGUGUCGUGCUGUACUCCCUCCAUCUAAAAAAACCCUGGUUUCCGUGUCUAACGUUUGAUCGUCCUUUUUAUUUGAAAAAAUUAUAAAAAAAUUAAAAAGAUAAUUCACGCAUAAAGUAUUAAUCAUGUUUUAUCAUCUAACAAUAAUAAAAAUACUAAUUAUAAAAAAAUUUCAUAUAAGACGGACAGUCAAACGUUGUCACGGAAAUCUAGGGUUUGUCUUUUUUUUUUUAAGACGGAGGGAGUAUGUAUGUACUAGGAUGUUGUUCAUACAUCUUGAAGGGCAACAGCUGGAUAGCAUUCUGCAAAUAUUGCAUUGUCGUUUGCGCAAGGGGCAGGGAAUUAGGCCACUCAUCUUCCUUUUGGGUACUUGUCUAUCACAAAAGCGAAUUCUCAUGAGUAUGUUUGUUUUUUUUUUUUGGUGAUAACAGGGCAGGAGAUGCAUGCAUGUUAGCUAGCCUCUUCCUGUGUGCUGCGCUGCCGGUAUGGUAAAAUCAGUGUGGGAAAACAGAUUCGUCACGGAAAAACAGAGCAGUACUCUGCUUUCAACAGCUUCGUUUGUUCGAAACAGAGGACGUAAAAAACAGAGCAUUAUUGCUCUCUCUUCAUGGCGCAUGCAUGGAUGCCUGGAUAAGACGAUAAGCUAAGACUUGUCAAUCCGUUUUUCCGCAUGCAGAGACAUCGCAAAAGUUGGCCUAGAAAGUGACCAUCAUUGAUCGAUGCCAUAUAAUGGUAUAAGGCCUUAGUGGAUUGUAGGCCGUUCGAUUAAGUUUGAAUGGUGGAUUGGUGCAUGCAGUAGUCAGUUAGUAGGGUCAAAAAAGAUAGGUGAACUAUGUGGUUGACUCCUAGCAAAUCUUAAAUCUGGAGGCCUCUAGAGUCUACUAGACUCUUGGUCCCCUGUCUCUUACAUGUAAAAAUAUAAGAGAAGAUAGUAAGUAGCAGAAGAAGAUAAAAAUCCUCAUAUUUUGUUUUAUAAACACUGUCAAACCACUUUAUAUCUAUCUACAAUGUUGAGCACUCUAUCACUAUAUAACUUUACAAUAUUCUGAGUUGUAAAAAAAUCUUUACAAUAUUCAAACACAAACAUUAUUUAUGGUGAUUCCUAUAUUAUGAGACUGUCAUAUUGUUACGCUUUAUCUUACCAACAUUUUUUUCACAACAGACCCAUUACAAUAUCUCAUUGAUCUUCGAAACUAUGUAUGCCUGCCGAUUGUUAUAAGAUCAUCUAUUAUAUCUAUUCUUAUGUAAAUGGGUAUUCUUGACAGCAUACUCAUUCAUAGAUUAUAAAUUCAAAUAUUUUUUAUCAACUAUUACUGUACUUUUUGGUAAAAUUGUAUAUAUGUUAUAUUUUACAUUAAACGAUUAUUACAGUUUCUGAUGGUCGCGUAACGCACGACUCAUUGGCUAGUCGACUAUUAAAGCAGACUAGUCGCGGGAAAACAUGAGGAUGCAAAAACAGAGCGGACAGAUGGUACGAAACAGAGGACAUAAAAACAGAGCAUUUCUCUUCAUGAGAAAUGGUUGAUUAAUUAAGGCAAAGACUGACCUGUAAUGUUUCAUCCCUUGUUUUGCAGGUGCAACCCAUCGAUAUUCCAUAGAACAAGGCUUUAGAAUGGUACCUUCAGAAACAGAGGAUUGAUGAAUGCAGCUGCAAGCACAGCACGCAGUAUAUAUCCAUGGGUCCAAAAAAGCUUGCAAGUUGCUGGCUACAACGACACGCCUAAUGAUUCCUGAGCAAGGCCCUACAUACAUCUACAUGGAUAUGCAUCUCUAUAUAUACGAACUUACCUGCAACUAAUUUCUCCACCCCCCAACACAACAGCACUCCACACACAAUUACACAACAAUGGCGUCCGAACAACAACGCCGGCGAUCACCACCUACCAUCCUCGCCGCCAUCCUUCUUCUCUCCUUCUUGGCGACGGCCAACCUCGCCGGCGCCAUCGAUCCAGCCGGAAGGAGACGGAACGUGGUCGUCUUCUGGGGAGGCAACAAGAACGAAGGCAGCCUCCGUUCAGUCUGCGACAGUGGACUCUACAACAUCGUCAUCAUCUCCUUCUACAGCCUCUUCGGCCAUGGCCGCUACUGGGACGACCUCUCCGGCCACGACCUCCGCCACAUCGGCGCCGACAUCACCCACUGCCAUUUCAAGGCCGUCUACGUCCUCCUCUCCAUCGGCGGCGGCGAUGGAAAAGACUACUCCCUACCUUCCUCCAAAUCCGCCGCCGACGUCGCCGACAACCUCUACAACUCCUUCCUCGGCGGCAGCCGCCCGGGAGUCUACCACCCAUUCGGCGAUGACGUCACAGUCGUCGGCAUUGACUUCUUCAUUGACC